AAGAGAUGAACAUGAAUUAUAGCUCUUUGAUUAACAAAAUUUCAGCAGCUACAACCUCGAAUCAAGCGGAUUCUUCAAGUAAUUACAACGACAAAACAGGAAGCCGGAACCGGAAGAAAACUCAAGCAUCAAAACGGACUGUCCUGAAACCUCUUUAUCUCUCUGUUACCGUUCCCCUCUACUCUUCGUUUAUUUCUUUUUGAUUGUCAUGUCUUCUUGGUCUUUGUUUUGUGCAGGUUAUGGCUGCCUAGGUUUGAGGUAAAGAAGAUUUCUGUUUGUGAGGUGGUCGACGGAAACAACUGAUUUCAGCUCUUGGUGUAUAGGUCCUCUUUUCGUUAUUUUGGAAUUUUUCGUUCCCUUCGGGAUUUUUAGGUUAUCUCUUUAUUAAAGAAGAGGAGAAAUGGAGGUCCUUAGGUUUUCCUUUUUGUUCCCCUUGAUAAAACGGUUGAUCCUCUAAGUAUAUUCUAGAGUUAUUUUUAGACUAGUUUUGGUUAUAUAGAAGAGUUUUUAGGUUAAGGGGUAUGGGCCUAGGAAUUAUGAGCUUGAGAAUUAUGGGCUAGGUCCAAAAUUAGGCCUAUAAAUGGGUUGCUUGAGCCCAAGAUUUACUCUUUCCUUGCGAACGAGAUUAAAAAUACGAUCUCAUUUAUUAAUUAAUCCUACUAUUAAAAUAAUUAUUGAAAUAAAACUAACCGUUAAUACAAACCUAUUUUUGGUAUUUUCAAAUAUCAUAUUAAAAUAAAAAUACGGUACUAUUUUUGUAUUUUUUAAUAUUAAAAAUGACUACAAAACAUUAAUGAACUUAUUUUUAUAAUUUUGAUUUCUUGUAAUAAAAUAAAAUAAAAGAGUAAAAAUGAGUUGAAAUAGCUCUAUUAGACCUAAAUUAAAUAUUUUACGCUAAAAAUGUGAGAAAUCUUGGGGAGGAUCAAAAAUCACAUGUCUACAGAAAGGACAAAAGACUGUCAGGAAAAGGAAAAUGAGCUUCUUUUUGUAACCUGGAAAAGCUAAAAAGGAAGGGGGGGGGGGGGGGACUUCUUAUUUUUGUUGAGGGGAGCACCAUUUUUUGAUUUUUUUGGAGGAGGAGAGAUCCAAUUUUUUUUUUGUCUAAGAUCUGAUGUCUUUAGGUCUAGCUUUUGGUCUUAAUUAAAAGGGAAGGGAAAUGAGUAUUGAGCUUUGGGCUUAAAGGGAUUUGGGUCAUGAAUUUGGGCUAAUUAAUUUUGGCCCAAUACAAUAAGACUAAAUCAAAAUCUUUUUUCCCAGUUUCUUUUUCUUUGAUUUUAAAAUCUAAUAAAAUCCUAAAAUAAUCCUAAAUCAAUCUAAUUUAUAAAAGUUAAAAUUGUUUAUUUAUUAAAAUAAUUAAUUAACUUAAAACUAAAUAAAAACACUAUUUUCUAAUGACUAAAAGCUAAAUAUGUAAAAAUGACCAUUUUCGUGAUUUUUCUUAAUAAAAUUAAUUUCUACAUGCAAAUUGAACCUAAGAUGGCAUGAAAUUAAAAAGUUAUAAUUUUUUAUGAUUUUUUUAUAAUUUUAAAAUAUUAAAAAUGCAUGAAAUGCAACUAAGUAAAGAAAAACUUCUAAAAUCCCAUAAAAAUUAUUUUUGGUCUAUUUUUAGGAGUUAUUUCAAGUAGGGAAAAAAUUAGGUGCUCACAGCUGCCCCUCUUUGCUUGGAAACAUGAAGAGUUUUCGGGCAAAGAUAAAGUGAGCAAUUUUUGCCCGUUUGAAACUCCAUUUGGAAGCAUUUUGAAAAAGUUUGACCGAACCUUGCUUCGAAGGUUGCCUAUAUAUCCUUGGCUAUAAAGGAAUCAGGUCGGUGUAGUUCUGGAAGUUUUGGUAGCUGGGACUACCGACAAGCUGUGAUUUCACUGUUGUUGCUGCUGUUUCUGCUUGCUGAGCUCCUUAUUACACCAAAAUGAAAAUGAAAACUAAACUAAGCCUAUCAGCUACGAGUUACAAGAUUCCUAUCUAUAAAUCUUCUGGAGCUCGAUCUUAAGUCUUGACUAGAUGCGGACUCUGAUAUGAAUCUUGAUGCUCAUUAGCUGUAGGUGCUAGUUUAUUCUUCUUCAGUUUUUGAAACAAAACGGGACUUGCAAGGCUUGCAACUUCAAUCAUAUCUUGAGCAGUUCAUAUCUUUUUUGCCUUUGCACUUUGUUUCACUUCUUUUCUUUUGUUCUUUUUCUUUUAUUCUGGAUUGAGCCUUUUUUUGGUUGUCUCUAAACUUGUGCCUCAAGGUAAAAACCUAUUGAGGCACCAAAACAAAUAAACGAACGAAAUUUUUCUGCCCCAGUUUUCACUAGGAAAAUUUCAUGAGUUAUUACAACAAAAAUCUAAACUACUUCUUUAUUGAAAGCAAUAAAAUCAGUAUUGUGUAUUCUUGGGAAAAAAGAGAUUAGGGAGUGGAGCUCUAUAUCUAAAAUGAAAUCAAAUGGGGAUCGGAGGUCCUAAAUUGGAAAGAUUACCAGGUUAUGCUGGCAUCAACUAAAGAAUGAGACCUUGUGCCAGAAAAGAUUACUAGGUUAUGCUGGCAAAGCUAGGGAGUGGAACCCUAUGUUGGAAAAGAUUACCAGGUUAUGAUGGCAUCAGCUAGGGAAAAGGACCUUAUAUUGGAAAAGAUUACCAGGUUAUGCUGAAAAAAAUCACUGGGUUAUGCCGGAGAAGUCAUCGGGUUAUACCGGAAAGGUCCUCGGGUUAUGACGGGGAGGUCCACAUGUUAUGCCGGGAAAGUCAUCGGGUUAUGCCGGGGAGGUCCACGGGUUAUGUCGGGAAAGUCAUCGGGUUAUGCCGGAAAAAGAUCCUCGGAUUAUGCCGGGGAGAUCCACGGGUUUUGCCGGAAAAGGUCCUCGGGUUAUGCCGGGGAGGUCCAUAGGUUAUGCCGGAAAAGUCAUUGGGUUAUGUUGGAAAAAGGUCAUCGGAUUAUACCGGGGAGGUCCACGGGUUAUGCCGGAAAAGUCAUCGGGUUAUAUAGGAAAAAGGUCCUCGGGUUAUACCGGGGAGGUCCACAGGUUAUACCGGGUAAGUCAUCAGGUUAUGCCGAAAAAGAUCCUCGGGUUAUACCGAGGGAUCAACUAGGGAGUGGAACCUUAUACUGAAAAAGGACUACCAAGUUAUGCUGGCAGCGACUAGGGAAUGAGACCCUUUGUUGGAAAAAGAUUAUCAGGUUAUGCUGGCAUCGAUUAGGGAAUGGGACCCUAUACUGGAAAAAGACUACCAGGUUAUGCUGGCAGCGACUAGGGAAUGAGACCCUUUGUUGGAAAAAGAUUACCAGGUUAUGCUGGCAUCGACUAGGGAAUGGGACCCUAUACUGAAAAAAGACUACCAGGUUAUGCUGGCAUCUACUAGGGACUGGGACCCUAUGUUGGAAAGAUUAUCAGGUUAUGUUGGCAUCAGCUAGGGAGUGGGACCCUAUGCUACCAUGAUUUUGAAUUUUCUUCUUUCUUUUCAUUUCAUUUUUUUUAUUUUAAGAAAAUGAGUAAAAAUGCAGGAAAAAAUUUGGAGGAGACUUCCCUUUUGGAUUGAUUAUUACUGCAACGUUGUUUCUAGCCCUUGCGCAGUUUCUUUUUUGUUGCACCUGCUUCUUGCAAGGUUGCUUUGGAUUUCAUCUGUUUCAUGUUUUCAAACAAAAAACAAUUGUUAGUUUGAAACGGUGGUUGGUUUUGUGGACUUGAUUUUUUCAAUCGCUUGAUCUUGGCCCCGCUUUUUUGAUGAAGAUCUCAACUGCAACUGUUUGUUCCCUAAGGACCGAUUUCAUUUCAGGCCCUGGAGAGCCUCUGGUUUUUCCAAACUUUUCCAUGACGGUUGGUCGGUGGAACUCAACCUUUUCGACUUUAUCUUGCCUUCGCAGGCCUUUCCCUUUCGACUUGUUGUUUUUUCUUUUUUUAACUUCGGAGCAUUGGGGAACUUUUUUCUCCUCAAACUUUUUCGCAAUGGCUAGUAGCAUGGGAUUUAACCUUUUCCAACUUUAUUUCGCCUUUAUAGGCCUUUUAUUUCUGGCUACUUUCUUUCCAACUUCAAUUUCAGAGCAUUUGGGGUCCCUUGGCUUNNNNNNNNNNNNNNNNNNNNNNNNNCAAGAGUUUUCAAUUUCAAAACAUCAGCCACCAUGGCCGAUCGAAGUCGACUUGAUGUCCCUGACGAUGCUGGGUUCCCCUUUUUGCAUAUUAGCUUGUAUCAAAUGAGAACCCCGUAAAUCGGUCUUACCAUCCUUUCUUUGUCUUAGUUUCAAAACAGAGUUAGACCGAAAAGGAUUCAAAGAAAAUAAACAAUGGCAGGGAAAAUGAGUUUAAAACAAGAAGUGUCCCUUUGGGGAAAAGGAAAGAAGGACUUAUCUGGAGUACAUGCGGACUUCAUAUGAACAUGACAUGCCUUUUGGACUAGAUGCCUGAUCUGUGUAAACUAUCCGACUCUCGAAAAUUCAUUACAACUUUUGCCUCAAAGUCGAGAAACCUUGCCAGGACUCUGUCGAUGCCGAUGGCUAUGAGGAUCUUCUUUUCGAUCAGUGGCGCCCUUUGUGGGUUUUCACUAGCUGGCCACUCUCAUUUAUCUUCUCACCAUCGCCUUAUAAUGCUCUUUGCGAGUUUUCACUAACAAAUUCUCUCAUUUUAGUUUCUCUGCUUACUGUCGCCUCAUGGUGCCCGUGUGAGUUUUCACCAAUAAGACUCUCUCAUUUUAUUUCUCUCAUUUGGUUGCAUCGGAUCCAAGUAGUUGUAUCCUCUAAUUUUGAACAUCUUACCGAUUGGUCGGAAGGACUUGAACAUAGUUUGGGGUAAAAAUGAUUUGGAUUUAAUUACAACUUUGGAACCUUUCAGGCGAAAACAUCGUCGAACCAUUGUAACUUCUGCCCCAGUUUCAACUUUUGGGGAAAUUUGAAUUUUUAUUUUGGUGUGACUGAACCCCAGAGAGAGGCUGCCUACGUAUCCUUUUAGAAUCAAGUCGAACGUAGUUCAGGAAACUUUGUUUUUGAUUUUCUUUUGUUUUUCUGUUUUGUUUUGUUUUCUAUUUCCUUUUCCUCUCUUUUUUUUGUUUUUUUUUCAAUUCAUUUUCUUUGUCUUUUCUUCCCUUUUUGGUAUCUUUCUUUUUUCUUCUAUUUUCAUUUUUUUGUCACUUUUCAAUUUUUUUUUCAAUAACACUUUCAGGUUCCAAAGAGGGUAAUCAAAAAAGAAUAAUUGGCUCAAAUGGUGUACAAAAGGGUUAAUGGUGUUUGGGUAGCGAGAAUGAAAGUCUUUGUCAUCCCAACCGGAGAAUAUUAAUACUAUUUGGAGGAUCAAACAUAGUACCUUUUGGAUGUAUUUGCAUUGACAGUUAUUACAGGGACAUUUCCUUCGAUGUUUUCCAGGUACAACGCUCUCUUUUGGCAGUACUCUUGUUGCAAUGUAUGGACCUUUCCAAUCUAGAGCCAAUUUUCCUUCAGCUAUUUCGAGUCUUUGCUUUAUUUCCUUAAACUUAUCUUCAUUGCAUUUUGAUUCUUGACUCGUUAUUUCGAAGUCUGACAAUGUUUUAGGAUCUGGGCAUGAAGUCCGCAAGCAUGUCAUGUUAUUGAAAUCUGCAUUUAACUGAACUAAACAGAGAAUAAGAAAAGAGACAUUCCUCGACAAUGAAAUAUUAAUUUCAUUUGAUUUUUUGGUUUUUGUUUUUUUUUUCAAUUCUUUGAAGAUAGAAGGGUUUACAUCGGAAAGUAAUACAAUAAGGUAAAACAUCUGGAUCACACCCUGAGAUAAUCCAAAUGCAUAAAGGAUAGCAAGACUGGCUACUAAGACUCCUGUCUGAUGGGGAACUUUCAUGCUUGGCGACCUAUUUUUGGCUUUUCUUCUGUCUCGGCAAUGGCUGCAAUGACCUUCAGUGCCGGAUCAAAUUCCUCAUAUUUACAAAUCAUUCCGACUAUUGGUCCGAUGUUGUGGGCAAGCAACAGAUUGUUCAUCACAUCAGGAGCUUCUUCACCUCGAAAGUCAAUUCUUUCAGCUUCAAUCAAGUCUUCAACUGCCCUUUUGUGGGUCAAACAGUACUCUAUACUGUGUCCCACUGCUCCAGAGUGGUAUUCACAUCUAGCAUCAGUUCGGUGCGAUGGGGACUCGGGGUUCGACCGGUUCGGGGCCACUGAUUGCAAUAGAUUUAGCCUGAUUAGUCUUUGGAACAAGCUUGAAUACGAUUCACCAAUAUGGGUGAACUGAUUCUUUCUGAAAGGCUCUCUUGGGCGCGGAUUGUAUUGGGAAACAUUUGGUUGGGGAUUAUAUGGAGCUUGGUAAGGAUGAGCAUUUAUGGGUGGUGGAGCUCGGUUUUGUGUAUAAUGUUGUGGCCGCGUGUAAGGUUGCGCGUUCAUCACUGCAUAAGGAGGCGAUGCCACGACAUAAGCAACAUCUUGAUGGGGAUAAUAGUGUGGUAGGACCAUAGUUGGCACAUAUGAUUGGCUGAAUGACCUGCGGGCCCCUUCGAGCUUGAAGCCAUCAUGGCUCCCUCUUCAACCCCAUUUCUAUUCAUCAAACUCUCUGAACCAUUCUGAGCAGCCUGUGAUGUGUCCUUAAAGGCAGCAUGACUUAAGAUUCGCCCUUUUUUUAAACCGUUUUCAACCAUUUCUCCAAUUUUGAUAGUCUCAGCAAACGACUUUCUCAUAGCGGACAUCAUGUUCUGGAAGUAGUCCGCCUCUUGGGCCUGUAGAAAGACCGCGACCAUUUCAAUUUCGUCCAUUAGAGGCUUUACCCUGGUAGCUUGCUCACGCCAUUUGAUAGCAUAUUCGCGGAAGCUUUCCGCGGUUUUCUUUUUCAAAUUGGACAAAGAUUUUUGUCGGGAGCGAUGUCCAUAUUAUACUGGAACUGGCGGACAAAAUCUCGGGCCAUAUCGUCCCAUACGUGCCAAUGAGUAAUUUCUUGAUUCGUAUACCACUUAGAAGUGAUUCCGGUGAGGCUUUCCCCAAAAUAGGCCAUUAACAACUCCUUUUUUUCACCAGCGCCUCUCAACUGGUUACAGUAUCAUUUCAGGUGAGCGACCGGGUCUCCAUACCCAUCGUACUUUUCAAAUUUUGGCAUCUUGAAGCCAGCUGGCAAGCGGACAUGGGGAAACAUACAAAGGUCAGAGUAUGCCAUGGUUAUUAUUCCCACACUUCAUUAGACCUCUCAGGCAGUGAGUCUGGAGCGGAUGACAUCUCUUGCCCCUCCGAGUACUCCAGUUCCAAUAGAGCAUAUCUCCGAUCCUAGUUCCUAUAUGAAUUUCUUAGUUUGGAAUUGCCGGGGAUCGCAUAAUCCUGAGUUUAGUCGUCACUUUAGGUCUUUGUUAGAUAAUCACAGACCUGUUCUAGCAAUCUUACUUGAAACGUACAUGCAUGACCACUCAAGGCUUCGUGAUGACUUUAACUUCACUCAUAUGUCACAAGUUGCUGCUAACGGGCUAAUAGGGGGACUAGUGGUACUAUGGAAUGAUGAGGGCAUCAAGGUCACAGAGAUGAGAAUUUCUGAGCAAGAUAUACAUUGUAUGGUCCAGGUAUAUUCUAAUAAACCCCCAUGGUUGUUAUCUGCUAUUUAUGCUAGUAGCCAUUCUCAUUUAAGAAAUUUACUUUGGGAUAGUUUAAUUAAUUUACAAAAUACUCUUGAUAUGCCAUGGUUAUUAGGAGGUGAUUUUAAUGAAAUUAUGAACUCUAGGGGGAAAUUUGGUGGUCUUCUUAUAAGAAAUGGUAGAGUAGAUAGGUUUGUUAAUUGCUUAAAUUACUGUAAAUUAUUAGACCUCGGCUUUCAUGGUAGCCAUUUCACUUGGACUAAUAAGCGUAGAUAUGGUAACAUAAUUCUAGAGAGGCUUGAUCGUUUUCUAGCAAACUAUGAAUGAUUAAAUUUGUAUCCAGAAGCUGUGGUAAAGCAUCUUCCACGAACUUACUCGGAUCAUUGCCCCCUUCUAAUUACACUAGAUCCCACUCCCAGGAUACCACAAAAAAAUAUUUCGCUUUGAAACAAUGUGGGCAUCUCACCCACAGUUUCCAGCUUUAGUUCGUAACAUUUGGUCAGGGGUUUAUUCUUUGCCUCAGACUACAAAAUUAUUCUAGGCUGCUGCUACCCUUUGGAACAAACAACAAUUUGGGAAUAUUUUUCAACAAAAAAAAACUUUAUUAGCUAGACUAGCAGGAAUUCAAGCUUCGAUGCAUUAUCCUACUAGUAUAUUCCUGCAAAAUUUGGAACUAGACCUUUCUAUGCAAUAUAGUAAAAUAUUACGUUUAGAAGAGAGAUUUUAGAAAUUAAAAUCCCGUAUCAAUUGGUUAAAUGAGGGUGAUGUGAAUACAAAAUUUUUUCAUAUGACUACUAUUCAUAAACGUAGGCGAAAUAGAAUUUUUGGACUAAGAGACUUGGUGGGCAAUUGGAUUUUCCAUCAAGAUGACCUAAAGCAGCAUAUUACUGCUUUUUAUCAAACUCUAUAUUCACAAUUAGGCAAUUAACUUCUAAUAAAAACUACAACGAUUCUUACAAUUUUAAUCUUUCUAUACAUGAUAAUCAACAGUUGGAGGAGCCUCUUGGACAACAUGAGAUUAAAAGUGCCUUAUUCAGCUUUAAACCCUAUAAAUCACCUGGUCCGGACGUACUUCAUCCUUUUUUCUAUCAAAAAUUUUGGUCAGAUGUAGGCAAUAAGGUUACUUUAUUUUGCCAAGACAUUUUUAAUACUAAGGAAAUGCCUUACGAAUUAAAUCAAACCUUUAUAUGUCUUAUUCCUAAGGUAAAGAACCCUGCUACUAUUCAACAAUAUCGUCCUAUAAGCUUAUGCAAUACUUUGUAUAAGUUGAUUACCAAGCUAAUUGUAAAUAGGCUAAAACCUAUCAUUGCUAAGAUAAUAGGACCUACUCAAAUUAGUUUUCAACAAGGUAAACGAGCUUCUGAUAAUGCUAUUAUAGUAUAGGAAGUUUAAACUAUUUUAGGAAUACUAAAGGUAAAACUUCUUACAUGCUUUUGAAAUUAGAUCUAGAAAAGGCGUUUGACAGGUUGAAAUGGUCAUUUAUUCGGAGAACACUUAUAUAUUUUAAUAUUCCUGCUUCACUGAUUACUUUAAUCAUGUCAUGUGUUACAACAACUUCGGUUUCUAUUUUAAUUAAUGGUUCUAAGACUCCAUAUUUUGUUCCGACAAGAGGCAUUCGUCAGGGUGAUCCUUUGUCGCCUUACUUAUUCAUAAUGUGUAUGAAAAUGUUCUCACGUAGCAUUUCAUUAUCAGUAGAUUACCUACAAUGGAAACCCAUUAGCCUAUCUAGAAAUGGUCCACAGCUUUCACACCUUUUAUUUGCGAACGACAUUGUUUUGUUUUCAAAAAUUACUACUAAGAGUUGUCAUGCAAUAGUUGAUGUUCUAGACCACUUUACCUCUUGCUCCGGUCAACAAAUUAAUUUUGAAAAUUCUAAGGCUUACUUCUCCAAGAAUAGCUCCCAAUCUGACCGGAAUUUUGUUAUAGAGAAUUUUUCAAUUAAGGAAGGGACUUCGUUUGGUAAAUAUUUAGGGUUUCCUAUAUUCAGUACUCGACCUAAAAACGAGGACUUUCAACUCCUUCUAGAUAAUUUUAAGAAUAGAUUAGGGGGAUGGAAAAUUAGUUUUUUAACCAUGACAGGUCGCACUACUCUUAUUAAAUUUACUCUGAAUAACCUUCCUAAUCAUAUUAUGCAGUAUAUUCAAAUUUCCAAACAUAUUAUCAAAAAAAAUGGAGCAAUACCAGCGGAAAUUUCUUUGGGGCACUACCUUAACAAAGAAGAGAAUGCACCUUCUCAAAUGGAAUGUUGUAACAACCCCAAAAGUUAUAGGUGGUUUGGGCAUUCAAAAAUUAGGGCAAAAAAAUAAGGCUUUACUAGCAUGCCUUGCUUGGAGAAUUUGCCAAUCUCCUCAAGCAAUGUGGUCAAGGAUUCUUAUUAACAAAUACAUCCACAAAAAUAUUGUGUUGAAUAAUUCCAAAAACUUGGGAUAACAUCCUAAGAGGCUGGAACAUUUGCCAAAUGAGUAUUAAAUGGAGAAUAGGAGAUGACAAGCAUAUUAGUGUUUGGGACGACCCUUGGUUAAAGCCAGCCACAACAUUGCGCUCUAUGAUACAAGGCCCCUUAACUUUGGAACAAACGAGUCUAACAAUUUCUUAAAUACUUAAUCCCAUAGGAUGGAAUAGGGAAAUAAUUCCUUUUGACCUAGGGCAUAAUAUUAAUCGUUUGAUGGAUGCUACUUACGUAUCCCAUUUUCGCAAUCAAGCAGAUCCAAUCUACUGGGGUCUAAUUCGAACUAGCAAAUUUACUGUUAAUUCUAUGUAUACCACACUUGAGGUAGACACACAGUCUUCUACGACUCACUCUCAUACUUUUUCAUGGAUUUGGAAACUCCCUAUCCAUCCAAAAAUUAAAACCUUUAUUUGGCUUCUUUGCCAUAAUAGGUUACCAACCAGACUUUACUUAAAAAACUCUAAUAUUAUCCAGGAUGCUACUUGUUUUUAGUAUCAAAGGGAGGAUGAAUCUAUUAAACACAUUUUUCUCGAUUGCUUAAAUGCUAGGAAAUAUUGGCAAGAAUUGGGUUUCAUGCACCUUAUUAGUUACAUCACCAACUUGCCAUGCACACAUACUUGGGUACGUGAACUCAUUUUUAAUAAAAACUCCAACCUUCCUUUCCACAUCAACUCUCAUACUUACUUACCUAUUAGUUUAUGGAAUAUUUGGCUUACACGAAACGAUAACCUGUUUAACAUGACUAGAGUUAAUAUUCUCCAUAAUCAUAUUACUCAACAAGCAGCGGAAUUUACUUACUUGGCUUCGUAUACUUGUAAAACUAAUCGUAUAAUAAAACCAGCUAAGAAUAUCAAAUUGAAUCCUCCAACUGCUCUUUGUUAUAAACUUAAUACUGAUGGAGCUUUUUCAGCUAAUACGGCAGGCAUAUGAGGAUUAAUUAGGAACUCCAAAGCUGAAUGGAUUUUAGGUUUUUCAGGAUCUGCACCACAUGAUUCAUCCAUUUUUGAAGAGCUCUACACAGGGCUUGAAAUUAGCUUAUGAAAAUAACAUUGCACCUCUGGAGGUGGAGGUAGAUGCAAAGGAUCUUAUACUAUUAUUACAUUCUGAAAAUAAUGCUUUCUCUAACUUAAUUACUGAUUGCAGGUAUUAUCUGGCCCAGCUAGGUAACCCUAUAGUCAAACACGCGUAUAGAGAGCAAAAUAUGGUAGCAGACCGACUAGCAAAAGCAAGCAUUUGGAAAGGAAUAUUUUCCAAGAGUUUUUAAACAUGUUCCUAAUUUUAUUAAAAUAACUUUUUUUACGGGACAAGGCUUGUUUGGAAGGAACCCAAUCACACCAAGACACUGCUUGGCAAAAUUACAGUGGCAAUAUGAAUUGCCUAUAUCCGUGUGUAACUAGUUGUCAUGAUAAUAAUUUCAAUAGGAUGACCAUGACAGCUAUAAAUACUAGUAGUAGUUUAGGAUUUUGUAAUACAACAAUGGUUUGUGAUAGGAUGUCAGUUAGGCCCCAGCCAUCCGUACACAGUUAUUAAAUGCUUAUAUAUAUAUAUAUAUAUAUAUUAUCUUUUCAGACAAAAAAUACCCAUAGCAAUAAACAAUCAAUUUACAAGUUACUUUCAUAACGAAAUGCCAAAACGUGAUAGUCGCGUUGUGCCAAGACAACCACCGGUAUUACAAUUGAAUCCUAAUAUUUUGCACGAUACUAAUACAAAAGAAAUUAGAAUUAACAAUAAUUACUAAACUUAAUCAUUUUAAGUUCUAUAGAACUUCUACGGGAGAAAUUAGGAUUAACAAUAAUUAAUGUUUUACUCUUAUUUUUAGAACACUCUUUAUGAGUAAACUCUUAUUUCCUACAAAUCUCACUCUCAUAGAAGUGCUAAUCUAAUAUGAAAAAUGUGCACCGUACUAUGAUAACUUAAUGUUAUACAACUACCAAGAGUGUAUAACUAUUUUGUAGAUUUGUAGACGUAGGAAAUAAGAAUCCACCCGUAAAAGACACUCUAAAAGUCUAAGAAUAUAACAAUAAUUAUAAUAAUAUGUUUUUAAACUGCGAUAUAACUGUGGUUGCUUCGAUAUAACAUAUUCCGUCCGUUUCGCGAACUAUUUCCUUUUUGAUUCGUUCCAAAAAGAAUAAAUUCCUUCUAAAUUUGAAAACAAUUUAGCUUAAACUUACAAUUCUACCCGUACUGAGAAGUUUUUAUAAACAUACAAAUUGACAAAUAGUCUGGGACACUUUUUAAUUUAUUUAUGAUCACAAAUUUCAAAAAUUUCAUUUUUUCUUAAAUUCCGUACCCAAUCAAAACAUAAAUUGGAACAUAGAGAGUAUUAAAAUACUAAUCUUUCUUUAAGUCACAUUAUGCGCAAUCUAUGUAGUAUAAAAAUUAUGUUCCUAUAACUGUACUCAAUAUUUGGUGAACGUAAGCUAUUGUAAAACUAAAAUUAAUAUACUAUAAUACUAGAAAAAGCAUCUCAGAAUAUUUUCCCCAUAAUUUUCUUCAUUUAAAGAAUCAAAGUGCAAGGAUAACGAGUUAUACUACUCAUCAUUGAUGCUUUUAUCGGAUAGUGAAGAAAUUCGCUAAAAAGAAAAAAAAUAUCAAAAAAACAAGUUGGAUCUCAGUUACAAAAAUCGUCUUCAAUCCCAUAGAUGGGAAUUCUAGAAAGAUAACGCAGUAAUAAUAUUUUCAUCAUCAUCGAUCCAAAUAAAUCAUCCAAUUAUCCCAAAAAGGCAAAAACAAAUAGUUUAAACGACACUUUUUAAAUUAUAGUUAAAAACGGGAUCUCAGCUAUAGAGAAAAGUAAUCUACAUUUCCAAUGUGGAAAUUUCAGAACUCGGAUAAAUUCUUUUUCACAUCCUCGAUCCCAUAGUAGAAAAUACAUGUAAAAAAAUUCAGUAAAUUUAACAAAACAAAUGGAAGUAGAAAUAAAUAGUCAGGAAAUUAUUGGUUGGAUCUCAGAAAAGUGAAAUACCGAAGAAAUGAUAUAUCCACAUGUUGAAUAUUUCAGUCUUUGAUGUUUCCUCAUCGAUCCAUUGCAAAAAUAAAAAAUAAAAAUAAAAACAAAAAUUAGAGAACAGCAGAGAAAAAUGAAGCACCGAUUUUGAAGAUACAGGAGAGGAAGGGUGACUGAGUGAGGAGUUUUGAGAAACCCUAGCGUCGAUUAGAAAAGAAGCUGAAAUAAGCACUAUUUAUACAGAAACUUUGAGAAGCAGAGAGAGUGGAAUACGACAGCGUUUUCGGAUAAUGCUUUUCGGAUUAGGCACUUUGCAAAUGUUGGACUAAACCCUAGCUAAUAUAGUGUGGAAAAUUUAAAUUGCAAGAUAAGUCCUCAAUUAAGUUUCUUAGACAAAUUUGACCCUUGGACUUCUUGAAAUUAUUCUCAGUUACCUUGAGAGGGGGCCUAGGCUUUAGUUCAAUACUUCAAUUAUAAGAUUGGAAUGCAAAGACUCAAGUAUUUGAAUUGAUGUUCUCAUUAGGGGAAGUAUUAUGAAUGCACGGAAUUGUGGAUGUUCAAAUUGAGAAAGUGAAUCAAUUAAAGCAAGUAAAGUAAAGAUAAGUAGAGAGACUAAUAUAUUAUUUCAUUUCAAACUUGUAUAGAGUAAAAUAUGUCAUGUUAAGUGAUUGCAUAAGGGAGUGAUACGUGGAUCCGAACGCAGAAAAUAGCCAAAACUGGAGACAACUAUUCCAUCUGUUACAAGAAAAAAUGGUGAUCAUAAAGAUGAAAGAAAUGCCUACCACCCGCAUUUAAUGGAGAAUAUUCUACAUUAUUUAAUACACUGCCCGUUAUAAAGAAUUUAUCAUUUAUGCCCACCGUUACACAUUCUUCAAUGACCCUCAUAAUUGACAUUAAAGAAGGGCAUGAUCCUGGGACCUUGUUCCCUAGGUGCAUAUAUAAAUAAUGAGCUCUAUUAUCAUUGUAAAUCACACGAAUUUUCUGGCAACCUUAUGUUAUAAUCUGUUCAAAGCUUUAUGCAGUUUGAACUUUUAGCUUUUUGAUUCUAUUAUUGUUGUACACGAAAGCACUGCUCCCGGUACCAUUGCUUAUGUUGUUUCAUUCUCAUCUCAACGCUAAGUACUGCAUAUUAUUUCAAUUCUUCUAUUAUUUUAUGAUUAAAUUAAUUCACUUAUCUAGAAAACCACGUAUAAGUUCAAAUGUAUCAUUUUACGGGUAAAUAGUUGGUGCCCACUGCGGGGCCUAGACAAUCGUGCAAUUAAGUUGGGCAUUGCCUCUUUUAUUAACAUAUUUUGAUUACUUGUUCUUAGAAAAAAAUCACAGAAAAUGGCAGACAAUGGUGUUAAUAACACACACAAUCUUAAAGCCCAAGGAGACUAGCCUCAGCAUGAGGAUUCAAUCAGUGAUACCCACAAUGAGGGUAACAACACCACGAUGGUCCAUGGCAGGCGGUACUUGCGACAUAUUCGGAAGACGACUCUUGAUGAUGCUGAAGAAGAGCAUAUUGUUGAAGCGGUGAGGGCCCCGCAGGAGCAACAACAAGUCAUUUUAGGCCACCUCACGCGACAGGAUAAGGCUAUGACAAAACUAAUAGGCGUUAUCGGGUGCUUCCAACAAUGCGAACGGACGAGGUCCAGUUCCUCCCGGUGCUCCCAAAAAUCAAACAACGUAGAGGAUCGACAACAACACCCUGAGGAGUGAGGUCGACUUCAAUGGGGCCGGGGGAAGCAGAUCCGGUCACAACAACGAGAGCAAUCCCUUCAAAAAUGAACUCUUACAAUCUUUGAGGGAAGUAAACACCUAGAUGGACCGAAUCCCGGGUGCACCACCGGUGCUGGAAGGGUCGGACUCAAAGAAGUAUAUUCAGUUGCUAUACAAACCAAGCGUGACACCAGAAUUGAUCCCGAAGUAAUCUAAAAUGCCUGACGUGCCAAAAUAUGAUAGGACUUCGGACCCUAAGGAGCAUAUUACCACCUAUACAACGGCGGUAAAGGGGAAUGAUUUAGCUCCCCACGAGAUCGAAUCUGUUUUGCUAAAAAAAUUCGAAGAGACUAUCAUGAGGGGAGCCUUGACAUGGUAUUCAUUGUUACCUGAGCAUUCCAUAUAUUACUUUGAGAUGCUCGCAUAUUAUUUCAUUAAGGCUCAUGCCGGGGCCAGAAAGGUGCAGGCCCCGAAAACUAACAUAUUCAGAAUUGCACAAGGAGAGCCUGAGUUGCUGUGAGCAUUCAUAACUCGGUUCUAGAAGGACAUGAUGUUGCUCCCGGCUAUUCUAGGUGAAUGGCCAACUGAAGCUUUCACCAAGGGUUUGAACCCGAGAAAUUUCGAUGCCUCCCAAAAAAUUGAAGGAAAGCUUGCUCGAAUUCCAGGCGACGACUAGGCAGAUGUUCACAAUCGGUAUGAGCCAAAGAUAAGGAUUGAGGAUAAUCAGCUAGGCUUCCCAUGCCGCUAAAGAUCGGGAGAAAAAUAAAGAAAAAUUAAAAGACGAUUUCUACAAAGACAUGCGAUCUUCGAGGGGUCGAUUUUUACCUUACGAAUGGGCCGAAGGACGCGACAGAGGUUUAUAGUCAGCAGACAGGUUUGUUACUGAUAGAAGAAUUAAUUGCGGCUGAAAUAACAGAUCGAUACAGGACAAGAAAGAAUCAGGUUCUCGAGAUCCUUCUUAUCCCAGAUAUUUAGAAUACAACUUCAAUGUUAGUGUAGUAGAGUUAGUAUCAGCUAUGAGAAAUAUUAAAGAAGCAUGGUUCCUAAAGCCUAUGAGGUCUGAUCUCAGCCGAAGAGAUCCUAAUUUGUGGUGCGAAUACCACGGAACGAACGGCCACCGAACUGGGGACUGUUGACAUUCGUGUGAAGAGGUGGUGAUACUACUAAAAAAUAGCCAUCUCAGGGAACUCUUAAGUGACCAGGCCAAAAAUAAUGAUAGAUGUAUCCGUGAUAACACGAAGCCCUCAAAAACAAAAGAAGACCUCUCGCGCCAGACGAUCAACAUGAUUUUCGGGAAGGGGGGAACAAGAUAAAUGAGGUUACUUUCUCGGUGGCAAAAAAGACAAAGGCAACAUUAACCCACGGCAAGAGGCUCCGGGAAGUCGCUGAGGACAACAUCACUUUCAUAGAGGAAGACACAUACGGAUUAUUGCUACCGUACAACGACGCAUUGGUAAUUUAUUAAAGUGUAUUAGAUUUUAAAAUCAAACAUGUUUUGGUGGAUCCGGGAAGUUCGACCAAUAUCAUACAAUGGAGGGUAUUGGAGCAAUCCAAACUUACCAGAAUCAUCAUACAUGCCACAAAACUCCUUGUCGGGUUCAACCUCGCAAGUGUGACAACCCGAAGAGAGAUCUUGCUACCCACAAAUGUCGAUGGGGUGAUGAAAGCGACCCUUUUUAAGGUUGUGGGUGGUGAUAUGGGUUACAACAUUAUUCUGGGAAGAUCGUGGUUUCACGAGAUGAAAGACGUACCGUCAACGUAUCAUCAGUUGCUGAAAUUUUCAACUCCCAGGGGGAUUAAAUAGAUAAAAGCGACCAACCGGCGGUAAUGGAGAUGAAUGCGAUUUUGGUCUCCAGUAGCAAAGCAAGAAGCAUGCGGCAUAACAAUUAUAGGAAUUGGCGCCUGCUUCCGAGUCAAGUGAGGCUAACUAGAGGGAAGAAGCGUCAGAAUCUUACCAGGUGCCAAGAUAUUUCCAGGUACUUGAAGAGACGGACGCAACAAAGUCUACAGCAGGAGAGCUUGAGCAAGUCGCAUUGUUUGAAAAGUUCUUGGAGAGGAAAUUCCACUUGGGGACAGGACUGCACCUCGAGCUCAUGUCUGGAUUUAUUGAAUUUCUUAAGUUUAAUGCCGAUUAUUUUGCGUGGUCGCAUGCAGAUAUGAUAGGUAUCCCGAUAGAAGUGGUCGUACACAAGCUAAGCUUGGACCCCAGCAUUCCUCCGGUGAGAUAAAAGAAAUAUCAUAUUGCCAAGGCCAUGAAUAAAUUCGUCAAAGAGGAGGUAACUCGUUUACUUGAUAUAGGUUCGAUCUGAGAGGUAAAGUAUCCAGACUGGCUAGCUAACGUAGUAGUAGUUCCUAAGAAGAACAAUAAAUUUUGCUUGUGCGUGGACUAUAAGGACUUGAACAAGGUCUUCCCAAAGGACUCGUUCCCACUACCAAACAUCAAUCAAAUUAUUGAUGCAAUGGCUGGGCACGAGUUAAUGAGUUUCCUCGAUGCUUAAUCCGGGUACAACCAAACUAAGACCGGAGGAUUAGGAAAAGAUUUCGUUCAUAAUGAAUUUUGGCACAUAUUGCUAUAAUGUGAUGCCCUUCGGGUUAAAGAACGCCAAAGCCACUUAUCAGCGGCUCGUAAACAAUAGAUUUGAAAAACAGAUAGGGAAAAUCAUGGAAAUUUAUAUAGAUGAUAUGUUUGUUAAGUCGUUGAACGCAGGUUACCAUCUUAAGCACUUGCAAAAAACUUUUGACAUCCUAAGGAAGCAUAAUAUGAAGCUUAAUCCUGCGAAGUGCACGUUCGGGGUCAGCUCCGGCAAAUUUAUAGGAUUUUUGGUGUCACAAAGGGGGAUUAAGGUAAACUCCGAUAAAAUCAAAGCCAUCGAAGAUAUCCCUGACUGGCUGUCAAGUGUGAAAGAAGUUUAAAGGCCCACAAGGAGACUGGACGCUAUAAUCAGGUUCAUUUCCCGAUCAUCAGAAAAAUGUUACCGUUUCUUUUCAUUACUAAAGAAGAAGAACAACUUUGAAUGGACCCUGGAAUGUUAGCAGGCUUUAAGGGAUUUGAAAAGAUACUUGUCAAGCCCUCCAUUACUAUCAAAGCCGAAGGAAGGUGAAAAAUUGUUAAUCUACCUAGCAUUCUCGGAGGUAGCGGUAAGCGCAGUUUUAGUCCGUGAGGAUGAAGGUACGCAAUCCCCCAUUUAUUACGUUAAUAGAAUUUUAACGGGAGAAAAAACUCACCACCCAUAUUUGGAAAAGCUAGCCUUAGCUCCGUAGUCGCUGCUCGAAAGUAGGGGUGUUCAAAACCGAACCGAAACCGAAAAUCGAACCACAAAAGUGGCUUAAUGGCUUAUUGGUAUCAAGUUAACGGUUUAGCGAAUGGGGAACAUAUUGAAUUUUUUUUAUUAACGGCUUAUCGGUUUGGGGGCGGAUUAUUCAAUUUUCUUAACAGAUAAUCUGUUAACCCGUUAAGAAUAUAGAUAUUUAGAUUUUAGACAUUAGAAACCCUAACAGCCUAACAUCUAAAAGUCUAAUUUCACCCAGCGGCCAGAGCAGCAGACUCGUCGUCUCCCUCUUGCCGACUCGCCUCUCUAUCUCGCCGACUCGUCGUCUCGCCUUUCCCUCUCUCCAUAGCCAGAACAUCAGAUGGUAAGUUUCUUUUCCUGUUGAUGUCUUCAGAAUAUUCGGUCCUCACUAUUGUUUACACCUUUAAAAUCAGAGAGCAUCUCAAAGUAUUCAGCCAUUUCACGGAUCUCCAAUCACUGAGAUUUCUCCUGAAAUUGACAUUCCAAUUGUUGCCUUCUCUGCCUUGUGCUAUUUUGAGAUUGAUUUUGACAGUUUUUGUUUAAAUAUCCGUUAAGCAACUUGUUAUUUUCAUUCCUUUUCUUUUCUUGUUGCAGUGACUCAUAACAUGGUUGAAAAUAUACAAAGUGACAAGGUGAUGGGUGAAAGUGGGGCUUCUAAUUCAAAUGCAAUAAGUCAAACUGAAACAACGGAGUCAAAUAUAACCAAAAAAAAGAAAAAAAGGCCUGUUGUGUGGGAUCAUUUUACAAAAUUUAUUACUUCCUAAGGGAGUACAAAAGCAAAAUGUGACUAUUGCUUUAUUGAGUAUUGUUUUAAGACCAAAAAGGGUACGUCGACACUUCUUUCUCAUAUGUCCUAAACGCCCUACUAUUGUUGAUAAAAAACAAUCAAAUUUAGGCUUUCAAUCUGUUCCGGGGGGUAGUCAGGGUGACGUAGUUGUUGUUACUUGAAAUUUUGAUCAAGAAGAAUGCAGGAAAGCGUUAGGUUGUAUGACAAUAAUAGAUGAGCUUCCCUUCAGCUUUGUUGAGAAAGAAGGUUUUAAAGACUUCAUGAAAGUGGCGUAACCUUAUUUUCGGAUCCCUUCCUAUAGUUCUGUAACUAGGGAUCGUUUUUUAUCUUUUUAAUGAAGAAAAGCAAAAGUUGAAGAGGUCUUUUAUAGAAACGAAACAAAGAGUAUGUAUUACCACUGAUACCUGGACUUCUAUAUAAAGAAUCAAUUACAUGUGUAUCACUACCCAUUAGAUUGAUAGUGAAUGGAAUAUGCAUAAGAGAAUAAUUAAUUUUUGUCCUAUUAUUAGUCAUAAAGGCGAAGAUAUGGCAAAUGGUAUUGGAAGGUGCUUACGUAAGUUGGGGGAUAAAUAAGAUCUUCACUGGCACAAUUGAUAAUGCAAGCUUAAAUGAUGUAACAGUAAAAGAAUUAUCUAAGCAAUUAACAAAAAUGGAAACUAACUUGAUGAACGAUAAUCACCUUCACGUGAGAUGUACGGCUCACAUCAUGAAGUUUGUGGCCAGGAUGGUUUACAAGAAUCCUCAGUGUCUAUUGAAUGUGUUAGACAUGCAGUGAGAUAUGUUAGGAAGUCUCCUGCGAGGUUGAAGAUAUUUCAAGAAUGUUUUGAUGAUGAACAACUCAAUUGUAAAAAAAACUUUAUGCUUGGAUGUUCCAACUAGGUGAAAUUUCACCUACUUGAUGUUGCACAAGGCUGUUGAAUUUGAAAGUGCAUUUUCAAAUUAUGCUUCUAGUGAAAUUGGCUUGAGACAUUAUCUUGAGCAUUCUUAUAUUAAAGUUGAAAUUCCUAUAGGUGAACUUUUGAGUAGUGAUUUGGAGAAUGUAAAAAGAAUUACAAAGUUUCUUGAAAUCUUCUAUCUUCUUACUCUUAAAAUAUCUGGAUCACGUUAUGUUACAUCGAAUAUUCAUUUUCUUGAAAUUUGUGUGGUUGCUGUUUAUUUGAAGUAAUUGAUAGCAAAUGAAGAUAUAGUUUUAAGUGAAAUGGCAAAGAAGAUGAAAGAAAAGUUUGAUAAGUAUUGGGGUGAUCUAGGGAAUAUGAACAAGAUAAUUUUCAUCUCAUGUAUUUUGGGUCCAUGUUACAAGCUCGAAUCAGUUGGCUAUGUACUUGUAAAGAUGUUUGGUGUAGAUCCCGGGGCAACUAUGCAAUCAGAAGUGAAAAAGUACACGACUUCAUUAUUUAGUAAGUAUGUAAAAUUCAGCUCAAAAGGUGUCGUGCUUGCUUCUUCUUCAGAUUGUUCUUCAUUGGACACUUCUACUUCUGGGCUUUCUAGCAGUCAAGUAAGCACCCAAAAUACAGGACUUUUAGAAUCACUCAUGCAAGAUAUAAAAAAUAUAAAAGUGAGAGUAGAGGUGUGGAUACUAGAACAAAGUUAGAUAGAUAUUUUGGUAAAGAAACCGAGGAUGAUACUAAAGAAUUUGAUGUUCUUCUCUGGUGGAAAUUGAACUCAGCUAGAUUUUCUUUUCUUGAGGAGAUGGCUCGUGAUGUAUUAGCUGUUCCGAUUUCAAGUGUGGCAUCCGAAUGUGCGUUUAGUAUGGGAGACGUCUUCUUGAUUCAUUUAGGAGUUCAUUAACUCCUAAAUUGGUGCAAGCUCUAGUGUGUCUUCAAGAUUGGCUUCGAAAUGAAAAAAUAAAAUAACAUGUUAGUGUUGAGGAAAAUCUUGAUAAAAUCGAGCAGCUUGAACAAGGCAAUAAUAUUGUUACUAUAUUUGUUGUAUAUAAGUGUUGUGGAUAUGCUUAUAUUUAUCGCACGACUCAUUAUUUUAAUUUUUUUCUUCAGAUUUAGCCAGUGAUAGAAAAGACCCUUCCAUAAUUGACGUGUAGUGUUAAUAUAUCUAGUAAGAAUUCGAAUUGUAAUAUAGUGUUAAUAAAUCUGUUAAUACGUUUAUCGCAUUACUCAUGUUUGUGCAUAAUUUUAAUUCUGUUACAAGAAAUCUUUUUCUAAAAUAUCUUUAUGUGUGUCCUAGAGCUUUUUGGCAGUUAUCUGUUGGUGAAGUGGAGAGCUUGUCUCCCAGUCCCUUGGACACAUACAACUACUACUAUCUUAUCUGUUGGGUGAGUAGUUAUCUCUAGUUGUAUUCUGGACUUCAUCGUGGACAUGCCUGUUGAGGCUGAUGCAGUUAUAUGGAGGACAUUACUAAGUUCGUGCCACAUUCAUGAUAUUAAUGACAAUACUGGAGUGGGAUAGAAGGUCAGAAGGAGGUUGCUUGCAUUGGAGCCUAAAAGGAGUGGGAAUUUGGUUAUGGUAGCAAACAAGUAUGUUGAAGUUGGAUUAUGGGAGAAAACAACAAAACUGAGAAGAGGUAUGGGGGUCAGACGACUUAAGAAGGUAGCUGGAGAAAGUUGUGUGCCAAUCUAUUAGAUUCUAUGGAAAUUAUUCUCAAGUUGCUGAGGAAGUUGUUCCUAAACAAACAUAGUUCACAUCAACAUGAUUAAAAACAAUAUGACUGGUCCAAUAUAUGACUAGUUGUUCAACAUGCAAGAUGUUGUAAAGUAUCACUUGAACUUUGACAGGUGUAAUUGCCAUGUUAGGAAGUGUUAAGUGUUAAUAGUGAUUUGUUAUCUCUGCGUAAUGUGUAUAGAUUAAUCAUUUUGACAGAUGUAUUCCGGACUCACUUUGUUAUCUCUGUCAGUGUAUGGAUUAAUCAGGUACUAGCAAAUAGUGACUUAAGCAUGUGUAAAUUAAAUGGUAUGUACGUCAUGUGCAAUUGAAAUUUGCAACCAUUGCUCCAAUAUCUUAGUCUGCUUUGAACUCAAAGCAACGUAUUGUGCACUAGAAAAUUUCUCUAGUGUUCAAAGGUGUCAAUUUUGGUGUAACAACUAACAGGAUGUAACCUGAAGGACCAAAAUAGUCAUCUGUAACACAAAUUAAACUAGGUCGAUAAAUCGCCCGAUAGGAGCUAAACUGAUACCAAUCCGUCUGAUAUCUUAUCGGGUGGCUAGCAGAUUAAUACAUUUAAAAGCUGAUAAUCGAUAAGCCGAACCGUUAAAAGUAAAUAACCACCUGAUCUGCCCGAUAAGCAGCCCUACUCGAAAGAUGAGGCCUUACUUCCAAUGUCACCCGAUAGCUGUGGUGACCACCUUUCCCCUGCGGAAUAUCCUUCAUAAACCCGAACUCUUGGAUAGGUUGGCCAAAUGGUCCGUUCCGUCUAAAUGAGUGAAUUCGACAUAGAAUACAAACCUAGGACUGCGAUUAACUCACAAGUUUUGGCCGACUUUGUGGCCGAUUUUAGUCUAGGACUGCUGCCUCUAGUAACCAAAGAGGCAGUGAUAGUGUCGGAAUCGCCAUCGGGAGUUUAGACCAUGUUUACAGAUGGAGCUUCCAACGUAAAGGGGUCCGAUCUCGGCAUAGUAUUGAUCAUGCCUUCGGGAGAAACCGUAAGGCAUGUCAUAAGAACGACCCCUUUGACUAACAAUGAAGCAGAGUAUGAAGCUUUGAUUGUAGGACUCGAAUUGGCCCGGAGACUAGAUUCUGAGGUCAUAGAAAUCAAAUGCGAUUCCCAGCUGGUGGUAAAUCAGGUUUACAUGAUCUUCGAAAUCAAAGAGGAGCGCAUGCAACAAUACAUAGUGAAGGCUCAAGCUCUGCUUGAUCGGUUCCAGGAGUGGUCAAUUAUGUAUAUCUCGAGGGAAGAAAAUGCAGAAGCGGAUGUAUUAUCUAACCUUGGUUCAUCAACGGAAAUGAAAGGAUCAGAUUUUGGGAUGGUAGUACAGAUCACACACUCGGUUCUGCACACAAAUAGCUACUAUAAAGUGAAUACGACUAAUUUGGUCUGGGGAUGGAGGAAUGAGAUCAUAGAUUAUCUUGAACACGAGAAAUUUCUCGAAGACUCCAAGGCAUCCCGGCCGCUGCACGCCAAAGGAGCACGAUAUAGCUUCAAAGGAGGUCAACUAUACAGGAAAUCUUUUCAAGGCCUGCUGGCCUGAUGCUUGGGAACUUCCGAGGCUAAUUAUGUUAUGUGAGAUGUCCACGAAGAGAUAUGUGGAAGUCAUUCGGGCAUAAACUCCUUGGUACUAAAAUUGGUAAGGGUAGGAUACUAUUAGCCCUGAAUGGAACAAGACGCCAAAGAAUUUGUACAAAAUGCGAUAAGUGUCAACGCUACGCGCCACUGGUACAUCAACCAUAAGCAGAACCAUUGCACUCAGUUCUGUCUCCAUGGACAUUCAUGAAGUGGAGAAUAGAUAUCGCCGGACCACUACCGCUGACUCCUAGCAAGGUAAGAUUUCUUUUAAUUUUGACUAAUUAUUUUUCUAAGUGGGUUGAAGUAGGUCCUUAUCAGAAGAUCGGCGAACGUGAAGUGGUGGAUUUCUUAUAGAAGAAUAUAAUUUGCAGAUUUGAAAUACCAAAAGAGAUAGUCUGCGAUAACGGGCCACAAUUUAUAGGCGCAAAGAUCACAAAGUUCCUUAAAGACUUGAAAAUCAAAACAACCACAUCUUCGCCCUAUUAUCCGAGCAUAAAUGGUCAAGCAGAAUCAACGAAAAAAGUGAUUAUACAAAAUCUCAAAAAGAGAUUGGAAGCAAAUAAAGGUAAAUGGCAUUGAGGAAUUACCUGGAGUGCUAUGUGCAUACCGAACAAUGGCCAAGUCGAGCAUAGGAGAAACUCAUUUCUCUCUUGUGUACAGAGCAGAAUCCUUAACCCGAUGGAAGUAGGGGAGCCUACCUUGAGAUAUUUCUAAGCAAGUGAAAAGGCAAAUAACAAAGCAAUGCUAGUCAACUUGGAGCUACUCGAUGAGAGCAGGGACUUGGCCCAUAUAAGGAUGGCAACCUAAAAGUAGAGAAUAGAAAGAUAUUAUAAUCGAAGAGCCAACCUCCAUUAUUUCAAAGUUGGAGACUUGUUUCUAAGGAAAGUAACUCAAAACACUCGGGAACUCAACGCAGGGAAGCUAGGUCCAACAUGGGUAGGCCGCUACCGGGUUUUAGCUAUCACCGGAAAAGGUUCAUACAAGUUGGAGAAUCAAGAUGGAGAAAAGUUUCCAAACACCUGGAAUGUGGCACACCUCAAGAGAUAUUAUUGCUGAAGAACAUCACAUGUACUGAAUGUAUGUGCUCCACUCUUUUUCUCUUCGUACAGUUUUUGUCCCGAUCGGGUUUUUCUAGCAAGGUUUUUAAUGAGGCUGCAACGGAAAGCAUACUACAAAAAAGUUUCAACAGCAGCAAUAAGACCUUCUAAUAACAAGGCACACAAGCGAAGAAUCACAUGGGCGGUUAGAUAAUCUUUCAUUCGAUAGCAAGUUCCUACUGGUAAGUUAAGUUUGCUAUCGAACAAAGUUUACCCGACCGCUCACAAGUGCAAACUAUUAGGGAAUUGUUAGAUAGUCUUUGGCUCAAUAACAUAAAUUCCUAAGGGGAAGUGAAAUUCGUUAUUGAACUGAAGAUUAUCUAGAAUUUCAUUAGUGGAGUCCUCGAAGGUGCAAAAGUUCUAGUGUUCAAAUUUGCAUUCAUCGCAUUCGAACACUGGGGGGAUGAUAUGAGGAUACGAAAACAAUGACUACCAUGUCGACCGGAGUACGAAAAUCAAAAACAUAGUUGUAUCAUCGGAAUCGAGGACUGCAUGGUCAGGCCCAUAGAAAUAAGUUGUACAAGUUAGCCUCAAGAAAUGGCAAUUUCUUUUUAGCAUAACGAAUGCUUAUGUAAUUUUUGAAAAUGUAAGGAAUAAAGUAAAGUUCUUUUAUUUCUAUCUUGUUUCUUGUCUGAACGAUGGAUUGAUUUUUUCAUUUGAAACUUAAACAAGUACUUCAAGUGCUAGUGCCGUAAUGAACAGGAGACGUCCUCUUCAACAAAAUCUUAAACAUAAGAGGGCCCUCUCUUAUAAAAACCCUCACGAUAAAAGGUUGAUUUUGGAAGAACUUAUGCAAAGAAUCCAAAUGCUUUCGGGGAAAAAUGCACCCGAAGCCUUGCACAAAAAGACGCAAAAAAACAAAAUUGCACAGAUACUUGAAUGAAAAAAGAUGCAAGAAAUAAACUUGCACAAAACACUUAAGCAAGAAGGAACACAAAGAUUAAAACUUGCAUGAAUGUUCAAACAAAAGAACACAAAAACACUCAUGCACUACUUAAGAAAAAGAUGUUUUUAUUUACAAUAAAAGUACCAAAAUGGCACAAGUACAAAAAUUGGAAAAAGAAAUGAAAAGCUAAACUGCUGCAUCUCCGGAACCCGGAGGAAGAGAAGCAUCCACACCCCUAGGGGAACUGGGUAGAUCCGUAGCCUGUUCUAUGUCUUGUUAUUCAUCAUUUUGGCCCUCAACAUCGUCACCUUCCGGUUCCUUUCUAGUUUUACAGAACUCAAAACUGAAACCGGAACCAGAAGAAUCGGUAGCAUCAGGACUAGCUGAAAGACCUCUUUUUGCGGCUAACUCCAACUCAAGGGCCUUAGUAAUUUUAGCGUCAAAAUCUACGACACCCGCUUUGGCCUAUUCCAAGGCUUUUCUCCUCAAGCUAUACAUAGAAUGAAUUUUUUCAACAAUGAGGGAAGUCGCUCGGCAUUAAAGUUCUUAUUUAAGUUGGUCAACCUCAACAGAAAGAUUCUCCCGCACGAACCUAACAGACCGGAGGUUAACAUCGAGAUUACAGAUAGUAAAUCUGAAAAGUCUAUUAUGCUCGAUAGUCCUCUUAUACUUGUUAUCCAAUUGGACAUAUUUCGCCCCGAUAGUAGCAAGCUCUUCAGUUUUGGAGUUCAAGGAUGCCUCUAAAUUAUUUGAUCUUUCAGCAGAGGUAGCCUCACGAUCGGAUUCAGCAAGAACAACGCUAUGGACUUCAACCCAUUUGGCCUUAGCCUCUUUAAAUUGAACCCUCAGCGGGGUGAUCUCCUAGCUAAGGGUCUCUGCUUCUUGCUCACUUUGCUGUAAACGAUCCUCCAACAUAGCAGCCUCCGCAGCUUUGGCUUCCAGUUCUAAGAGGCGAGCAAUAGUUUGGUCCCGCUCGGCUAAUAGUUGAUCCCACUCGGAGGUAAGUUCCUCCUUUUCCUAAUUCAACAUUUGGAUGCCCUCGGAAGCAAGGAAAUUAGCCAGCGAAACAAGAAAGUCAAAUUCAAAAAUAAUACUAAAUCAAAGAUAGAAGAAAUGACAAAGAAAAUGAAGAAUAUACCGUUGAGGCAUUGUGCAUAGUAUUGUUCAACAAGCACUCUCCCGAGAGAUCCUGUAUCUUUUCCCAAUCUUUUUCUAAAGCCAAAGGCUUCAGAUAGUUAGCAGGUUCCACCGACCAGGACAAUGGAUUGCAUCUGUUGGAGACAAAGAGAGUAACGUUUUUCCUCCUCCUUUGCGGAUCUUCUAAGGGGGCGGCAUAAUUUCCCCCCAAAUUCCCAUGAACUAGGGACUGGGAAAGAGGAACAUCCUCUUCUCGAACAGAUGCGGGUGAUAUAGAUGAUGCAACAGUUGCUGAUGGAAGAGUGGGUGAAGAAGGUGAUGUAGAUGAUGGCAUUGAAGAGUGAGAAGCAGCUGCGGAAAAUGCAGUUCUGGUUGUUGGUUGCUCAUUAACUAAAGAUGUCAGGGGUACUCAGCCUCACGGUACCGAGCAUAGCGACUGUGAUCGAGCAAUAGAGUUGGCAUUUUCUACCAUCUUAAACUCCCAGCAAAGUACCAAGACAUCAUUCUCGGUUGGUGUAACUAACUUAACAGGUUGAGAAUUCUGUUGAGUUGAUGAUGAUCGUCGUCUUCUAUGUAGAGAAGCUCCCUCAUCACUAGCUUCUCCAUCAUUGUUAAUCAUUAUGGUGUUUAUGGCCGGCCUGGACGGAGGGCUCGUCACCAUAAAUUCUGGAGAUGACUCUAGGGCAACAUUCUUCGCCCUCUUAUUCUUUCCCCGACCACAGAGGAACACUUUCUUUUUGGUUACUUGUUCUCUGGUAUGGACUCCGAGAAGAAACACUUGCACCCGAAGCAGGGCUAGAGAUACCUGUUUGAGUAAGCGCCUCCUAAAGUAGCCUCGUUGCAUCAACAGGAUCAGCCAAAACAUCCUCCUCGGGGACGACAACCGAGCCCUGGGUUAGACCUGAAUUCGGCAAAGAGAGAAAGGAUUAAUCAAUUUCCUCACACAAAAAGCAAAGACGAGAUGCGUCUAAGUUACCAUGAUUUUUGGCCUUCCACCCGUAUUUAAGGGCCAAUUUUUUCCAUGUGGGGAUUUCGGGUGUAGUGACAUCCAAGUUUUUUGGACCCACUGGUCCAAGCCUUCAAUUCUAUGUGGAACCCACUGAGUUGCUGAAACAGGCGAAAUAAGGAGGAUCGAUAAGGAUAUGGGAAAAUUUAUAAUGAAAGAAAUAUUAAACAAGGAGUUUACGAGUGUGAUUCCAUGAUUCCGGAAAGGAUGAAGCCAUUGCCAAAAUGAUAUCACUAGUGGCAACUGUAGCGAAUCGUUCCUCUACCCACGGUCGUUGUCAUCAUCCAUGCUAGAUAGUAGAGCAUGGUAGCCGCGUUUGCUGAAAAUUAUCAUUCCCCCACGAAAGAUUUUGAGGGAAUAGAGGUUCAUCACAUGAGCUAGGGAUAGCUCAUCUCUCAUUUCUUAGCACAAGCGCCGAAGUCAAGCAAUCGUCCUCCACACAGAAGGACUUAAUUGAGUCAAACAUACCUGAUAGCGGAGACAAAAAUUUGCAAUAAUGGAAUCAAGCUCUCCAUUCAGACAAAACGCUCCCAAAGUAAAGGGAUACGUGUGAAAGUAUGUAAAGCCCUCUUUGGGUAGGGUUACCCGCUCCGCCAAAUCAGGAGUGAUAAUGUCAAAAUCUUGGCAACGACAAUCUUCAUUCACAAUAGGAAUACUGGAAGGACGGAUGGAAGAAGGGUAUCUGUCAACAACCCAUGUAUGAGAGUUAGCAGAAGGAAACUUCUUUUUGAAAUCUUUGGUGGUAAUUAGGCUCUGUUCGACGAUUCUACUCACCAUAGGGGGAGCGACAUCAUCAGUUUUGGCUUUGUUCUUUGAAGAACUAGGUUUUCUUGAAGAGGAGGACAUUUCUUAUCAGUGAAAGAGUUAACUCUCAAAGAAGGAAGUCAAAGAAAGGUUGAAGUUGGAAGAUGAGUUGAGUAAAGAAAGUCUUAGAAAAUUCAGAGUGUUAUGAAGUGUAAAUUAAGGAAGUUGAUGCUUAUAAGUAAAGGUUUAAGCGGCUAAACUCGUGACCAUAAUUACCUCGAUAUCUGGCAAAGGUUAUGUUGAAUCAUGUGAUGACACGUGGUCGGGCAUUAAAUGCGGAGAGACACACAUCAAAUCAACCGUCAGAAACUUUUCAGAGAGGGUUAGUGAAAUUUUCGCCAAAAAAAUAUUUCUACCAACUUCCCGGUGACACAAAGACUACGUCACUGUAAAGUAGGGGGGCUAUUUGUAUAGGGUAAAAUAUGCUAUGUUAGUGAUUACAUAAGGGAGUGACACGUGGAGCCGAAUGCAGAAGAUAGCCAAAACCGAAGACAACUAUUCCAUAAGUUACUGGAAAGAAUGGUGCUCAUAAAGAUGAAAUAAAUGUCUACCACCCAGUAGCAUUUAAUAGAGAAUAUUCUAUAGCACUUAGUACACUGCCCAUUAUAAAUAAUUUGUCAUUCAUGCCCGCCGUUACAAUUCUUCAAUGACCCUCAUAAUUGACAUUAAAAAGGGUGCAUGAUCCUAGGACCUUGUUCUCUAGGUGCAGCUAUAAAUAAUGGGCUCUAUUAUCAUUGUAAAGUACACGAAUUUUCUGGCAAACUUAUGCUAUAAUCUGUUCAAAGCUUUAUACAGUUUGAUUUUUUAGCUUUUUGAUUCUAUUAUUGUUGUACCUAGGGCUGCUUAUCGGGCGGAUUGGGCGAUUUUUUACUCUUAACGGUUUGGCUUAACGGUUAUUGGUUUUUAAAUGUAUUAAUCCAUUAGCCACCUGAUAAGAUAUCGGGCGGAUUGGUAUCAGUUUAGCUCUUAUCGGGCGGUUAUCGGCCUAACAUACAUAUUCACUAAAUUGUGUUUUCCCUGUUGGACAUGAAAUAGCUGAACUGAUUAUAGAGCAUGAAUCAGAAGCAAUGUAGAGGUAAGUGGUUCAACACUUUACGAAGAAAGAUAGUAAUCCAGUUUCACAAAUGAUGAUUGAGGCCAACAAGGAAAGUGCUAGAGGACAUUGUCUUCAGAAUCAUAGUCUCCGGCUGAAUUUAAAGAAUAGAACACCACCAAUCAUCACAAAUGAGAAGCAUGAUACAAAAAGCACAAUAAAACGCGUGGCAACAUUUUUAUCUAGUUGUAUGUUGAACAAAUAUAUUAACCGUGCUAAACUCCAUUGAUGUCUUUCAGUGAAGGAAAUGAUACAUCCAACUGAAGUAGUGCCACAUAUAUACACUACUUAUUUAAUUUAGUGAAUAUGUAUGUUAGUAUGAAACUUGAUUACAUUAAAUUCCUUUCACUCUCUUCUUCUGCAACUUCUACUUAAGAAUAUAAAAUUUAGCAGACAUCAUCAAACAACAAAAAGAACACUAAGUUACUCUUUUGCACAGAAAAAUGCUUCUAUAUACAGAGCAAAUAAACACCAUCGCAAGUGUACUUUAUGAGCUGUCCCAAUUAGGAGCCCACAAAAUUAACUAGCGACCUUUUUUUUCUUACUGCUCGUGACAUACAAAAAUCAGAUCAAGAUAGUGAGGAUACUUGCUAAAGAUCUUCAGGACUGUACUAAUAAGUCAGCAGAGCUACAAACAGUUUUACAAGUAAUACAAUGGAGUGUCUGGAAUAAUUAGAAAGAAAUCAUGUUAGGGAUGGACUUACUAUUAGUGAUAAACAUGUUUAAUGGUAAAGUAACAGUUCCAUGGGAACAUCAGUCAGGUAUUCUAGAGAUAAGAAGAGGUAUACAACAGAUAAAGUUGGUUCAUUGUUAUAGAGAAGGUAACUGUGUGGCUGAUGCCUUGGCACACAGUUACAUAUUUGCAAAGAUAGCACUAACUAUACACAUUUGCAAGAUUGCCAGCACCUAACUUCUUGUGCAUCCAGUCAAUGAUAUCUUGAGCAAUAGUCACAUUUUGCUUUUGUACUCCCUUCAGAAGUAAUAAUUUUUGUAAAAUGAUCCCACACAACAGACCUUUUUCUCCUUUUCUUGGUUAUAUUUGACUUUGUUGUUUGAGAUUGACUUGUUGCAUUUAAAUAGAAACCCCACUUUCACCCAUCAUCACCUUAUUACUUUUAAUAUUUUCAGCCAUGUAUGAGUCACUGCAACAAGAAAAGAAAAGGAAUGAGAAUAAAGACAUCAAGUUGUAAACUAAUUGUAUUUGGUUAUUAAAGUGGAACACAUUUAUAACAAAGAAAUAGUGUAAUUGUAUUUUAAACUUACUAAUUUAAACUUUAUAAUUUUUAAAUUUGCCUAAAUCCAACAUAUCUAAUAUAGAUGUCUUUAUUCUCUAUAAUCUGAUAUAAAUUACUAUAUUAGAUGUCGACUUCCACCAGCCACGAUAAUCUGAUAUGAAUUACAUAAAUUACUUCACAAACAGGAAAAUUUCAAAAUUGUAUAGGCUUCUCGUUAUAAUAUAAAACACUGUUUUAUUAAUUUUAGAUUAAACCUAAAGUUAAACCAAACUGAAGUUAUUACCUGCUAAAGUUAAACCUAAAGUUAAACCAAACUGAAGUUGUAAACAUCCUAGUAAUUUAAUAACUAAAUACGAUUAAUUUGCACAGUAUAAAACAUAAGAACAGAGAAAUGAAGACGAAGAAGAAAACCCUACAAUUAUCAAAAUCAACAACUUCUUCAACUACUUGAGUUGCCUCAUAUUGCACCUCUACUAUAGUAGAAAUUUGUGAGAAAUACUCCUAUUUAAAGUCUCAGCAAAAACCAAAAAAUCUUAUUCAUAAGUAAGAGUACCUGGAUAAGAAGAUAAGAAACCGCGACUCGCGAGAGGGAGAGACGAGACAGCAAGAGGGAGACCGGUGGUUGGUGGAAGUCGACGACGACUGUUGGCCGGUGGGCGGUGGCUGCUGGUUUAGGCAUUAGGUUUUCUUUGGAAUUAGGAAUAGACAAGUUUGUUUAGAGACAGAACAGACUGGGUUUAGAGUUUAGAACAUAACAGACGGGUUUGUUUUUGUUAUUUAUUUUCAAGGGUUUUAGUUUUUUUUUAUAUUUAAUAUAUAUAAAUAAAACUCUCUAGGCCAUUAUCUGACCUUAAAUAUUUUAGUUUGAUUUGAAAUUGAGUUUCAAUGAGAGACACAAAGGCUUUUAUAGUUUGCAAGGCAUUGCUUUUACAGCUUAGGAGAUGGGUCCAAGUGGACCUGCUAUAGUCAUCUACUAGGGUGAGGAAGUAUUUAAAAUUAUUGUGAGUUGCCACAUGGUAAGGUCCCCAUAAGUCCACAUGGAGAAGAUCAAAAGCUUUGGUGGUGAUACUGGUUCUUUGAGGGAAAGGCAAUUUAGUCUACCUUGCCAUGGGACAGAGGAAUGGUUGUUUGGGUGAGAACUGGAUUGGUAUUGAAGAGAUACCUCUCAUUUUGACAAAAGGUACAUAUCCCAGCCUAUUGUGCCACAAUAAAUCUGCAUCAAUGUUAUUAGACAUGGAAGAAUGCAAAACUGAACUCUGAGUUUUAUUGCACGUGGGUAUAUUUACAAAUGAGUGAUAAGGCGAAUGUGACCUAUUUACAUCAUGUGAAGCAGGUAAAGUAUGAAAUGGAAAUGAGCAGUUGGCAGUAGAUGUAGCAGAACAAGAGUGCUUCAAGCAGCUUGAGCAAAGAAGGUAUAAUCCAUCCUCGACCUUACCAAAUCUCCAAAGGCCUCUUCAUUGAAGGGGCCUGUAGAAGACAUAAAGAAUCAGAGAAGGCAACUAAACUUUUAAGUUGGGAAGUUAGGCAGUGAAUAGAGAUCAAAUUAUAUUUGAAAGAAGGAACAUAAAAGACUUUAUGCAAGAUGAUCUGAGGUGCAAGUGUAACAGUCCCAAUUUCAGUCACUUUUACUCGAUAACCAUUUGGUAGGUUAAUUAACAAGGGAUAUGGUAAGACUAUAGUAUUAGACAAGAGGGACUUAUUGAAGGUCAUGUGGUUGGAAGCUCCUGAGUCUAGGAUCCAUAUAUCAGUACUUGAUGUAAAACAUUUGCAUAAUAAUAAGCUAUAAUCAAUGGAGGGAACAGAAGCAGAGCAAGCCAUUGUACCUGCAAAAUUCACAACUCCAUUAGGAAUACUGGAGGUCUUUUUACCAUUUCUAGAAUGAAAAUGCUGUAGCAGGGAAACUAGUUGCCAAUAUUGUUCUUUGGUUAAGUUGACAUUGGAGUUGCAGUUGCCUUCUAGAGAUUCCACUUCUUCCUGUUUGCCAGAGUUGGUUUCAGGUGUACAUUGGCCACAGUUCUCUUUCCUCUGUUAAAUUUGGGAUUUGGAUUUGAGUUGAACCCCUGGGGUUAUCCAUGCAGCUUAUAACACUUUUCUUUGGUAGUAGUCACAAAAAGGACGUGGUCUGGUGAUAUUAGGAGGGUAAUUGCAGGGAGAAUAGUUGGUUCUAAAAUUGUUGUUCCUUGAUGUGUCAACAUUGAACGAGACAGAAUCUGCAUAUUGUUGGCCAUUUCUGAUAUUACUCCUCGGGACACGGAUAUUUAAAGACGAAGAAUCCAUCAUAACAUGAUUGUUUGGCUUAACUUCCCUCUGCUUCUCUUCUUGAACUAGUAGGAAAAUGCUUGUGCCAUAGAAGGCAAGGGGUUCAUCAUAAGAAUGUUGCCUCGCACAGUUGUGUACACUUUAUUCAGGCCCAUCAAAAACUGAAUCAAACGCCUGUCUUGUUCAGCUUUAGGCAUACUUUCCUUAGCACCACAUGUGCAUUGACAGGUGCACUGUGUCUUGGCACUCAGUGUACUCAGUUCCUCCCACAGCUUCUUCAUUUUAGUGUAAUAACCUGUGAUGUCCAAAACUCCUUGAGAAAGAUCAUUAAUUUCCUUCUGAAUUUGAUAUAGUUUGGUUCUGUUGGUCAAAUCGUAGCGAUCCUCCAACUCUUUCCACAACUCGACGGCAUCAUUUGCAUAUUCAACAGUCAGCAAUCUCCUUGGCAAGAGAAUUUAGGAUCCAUGAUGUAACCAUAUCGCCGCAUCGUUCCCAUAGUCGAAAUUUCGAAGGCUCUUUCUCUGGAUCUGGUCAUUUGCAUUCACCAUUGAUGAAAUCUAAUUUGUUUUUGACAGAUAGGGCUUGCAUAACACUCCUUCUCUAGGAUAUGUACCCUAAACCACCGAAAGUAACUGGAACUAACAUCGUGCCGUGGAUUAUUUGAAGGAUGCAUGUAAAGAGGACUACUAGCAUCGACACCGGACUCCACCUCGAGGACAGAUGGGGAACCAUCGGACUCAGUACUCGAAUCAGUGAUAGCCACGGGAUAGGACUCAAUUUGAUAAAGAUAGAAUCAAAAAUCGAAGAGAGAAAAGACAGAUCGAACAAUUGAAGAUAAACGAUCUUCUAGGGCAAAACUCAAAAAAUGAAAAAUUGGGGAAAAGGUUCAAUUGACCUUAUUGAAGAUGAUGAGGAGACGGGAGAGUGAGAUGCUAGACUCUGAUACCAUGUUGAGCUGCAGAUGCAGCAGAAAAAUCGAGCUCGAGCUAGAGCUCCAAUGGUGGAAAUUCUGGAAGCUUCAUAGAGGGAGAUACUGAGAGAAGAUAUUUUUGUAUAUAAAAUGAAUAAUAUGUAACAAUGUAUUGUACAAAACUAAUGUAUAUACACUUGUAUAACCUCUAUAACUGAUAACUAACAACUAAUUAAGCUACAACUAAGUGACAACUAAGCUAAGUAGUAACUAACUACUAUACAUAAAUACAUAGCUCAACAACAUUCAAUAUGACACAAGAAGGCACUUAUGGAAUAAAGAAACUUACAUUGCAAAACACACCAAAAAGCAACAACCAGAUGUCUAAGAAUCAAAUUAGUAAGGAGGCUAUUAUCUCAGUUGCAGACACAACACCCAAUAUCCAAAUGUCUAGUUCCUCAGAUGAAGAAGAAGAUGUCCCUGGUAGUGAAUAUGAGCUAGGUAAAUCAGAUUCAGAAAAUGAUGAAGAUAGCUCGGGGGUGAAAUCUAGAAGUUAUGAACGUAAAUAUAAGAGCAUAGAAGAAGGACCUUUCAGUGAUGGUACAUGCAAUAAGCUGGUAGAAGCUUUCACUGGACACCAGGUUUAUGUUCCAAAUAUUUCACAAGCUUUUAUUGACAUUACAGAUCGAGCAAACCUAUCACUGGGAGGUACUACAUCUACUGUGCGAGGCAGAGAAAGCAAUAGGGACAGAAGAGGCAGAGGCAACACAACUAGCAAGUCCAUACUAACCAAAAAUCAACCCAAAUUCACCUUUCAUGAUUAGAUCUCUAUAUUGGAAUAUCGGGGCAUUAAGGGUUCCAUUGAGAGACUGAAAAUGCUUAUGAAGUAAUACAAAAUAAAUUUCGUGGCCAUUCAAGAACCUUUUUGCAAAAGAUCUAAACUUGACAAAUACAAUAAUUGGUUAAGAUAUCACUAUGCUUAUGCUAAUUGCAAUAAUAAGAUUUGGAUAUUCUCAGACAAGGAUUUUGUUCUCUCAGUUCUCUAUGAUGGUAAGCAACAACUCACAUGUUCACUAGAGAGUGAGGAAGAGGAUAUCACUAUAACUAAUAUCUAUGCUAAAAGAAAGGUUCCUCUCAGGGAACCACUAUGGGAAGAGCUGAGGCAGACUUAUUCAAACCACAUGAAGGAAUGGAUGGUCAUGGGUGACUUCAAUUGUAUUAUUGAACUAUCUGAAAAGAUUGGUGGUAAUCCUCACAGAAUGGAAAAGAGUUUCCCUUUAAUCGAAUGCAUGACGGACUGUGAAUUAAAUGAUCUUGGUUAUAUUGGCUCUACAUACACAUGGUGCAAUCUCAGAACUCCAUCAGAAAGGAUAUGUCAGAGACUAGAUAGAGCUCUUGCAAAUCAGGAAUGGCUCUCGAAAUUCCCCAACACCACGGUUACUCUCUUGGUCAGAAAAUGAUCAGAUCAUGCUCCUCUUUUAAUUGUUGCUGGUAGCAAUGAUUAUUAGCCCCCAAAUAUUUUAAAUUCUUAAAUUUUUGGGUAAAUGAACCUGGUUUUAAGGAGAUUGUUCAACAAGCUUGGCAAAUUCAAGUGGAGGGAUCUCCUAUGUGGAAGUUCCACCUUAAGUUGAAAAACACUUAUAAGAACCUCUCUUGGUGGUCUAAAAAUUCUGUAGGGGACAUAUUUGCUCUGACUAAUGAUAAAGAAAGAAGGUACCAGAGCUAGAAAACAUUUGUAUUCAUGACAACUCUGUUGAGAAUAUGGUCAGGCUCAAUGAAUCCAAUGCUCAACUUAUCAGACAUUACAAGAUAGAAGAAGCCUUCUGGAGAAAAAGUCUUGGAUUAAAUGGCAUGCCAAAGGUGAUCUCAAUAUUAAAUUCUUUUAUUCAGUUAUUUCUUCUAGAAGGCAGAAGCUGAAACUGAGUAGAAUUAAGAAUGAUAUAGGAAUCUGGAUUGAAGAGCAGAACAAUAUUGGCCAGGAAGCAGUCAAAUUUUUUGAAAAUUUAUUUACUGAGGAGAAUCUGAAUAGAGAUCUCUCCUUAAUUCAAUGUCUACCCUCUAAGGUUACUAGUGAGGAUAAUGACAUUCUAUGUGUAUAUCCGACUAUUCAGGAGCUAAAAGAGAUAGUCUUUGACAUGAGUUUUGACAUUGCACUUGGGCCAAAUGGUAUGUCAAGGCUCUUCUACCAUCAUUGUUGGGAUAUCAUUGCUGAGGACCUACACAAUAUGAUUUUAGACUUCUUCAAUGGGAGUUGCCUUCCUAGAUCUAUAUUGCACUCCUACUUGAUCCUUGUCCCUAAGGUCAAAUCUCCUCAGGAAUUCUUUGAGAUGAGGCCUAUUAGACUCAGUAACUUCUCUUGCAAAAUUAUCUCCACGAUGCUUAAUAGUAGACUUUCCAAGAUUAUCAAUAAUUUAGUGUCCCAUAAUCAAACUAGUUAUAUGAAUGGGAGAUCAAUUACAUAGAAUAUCAUCUUGACUUAGGAAAUGAUUCACAACAUGAACAACAAUGAUCCUAAUUACAAUGUGGCUAUGAAGUUAGACAUGGCUAAGGCUUAUGAUAGAGUCUCAUGGAGUUAUUUGUGCCAGGUUCUACGACAAAUGAGAUUUUCUGAGAACUGGAUUCAUAUGAUUUGGAGAGUGAUUGCUAAUAAUUGGUACUCUAUUAAUAUCAAUGGAACCAGACAUGGUUUCUUUAAAUCCACUCGAGGUCUCAAACAAGGGGAUCCCUUAUCUCUUUCAUUAUUCAUUAUUGGUGUUGAGCUCCUUUCUAGAGCAAUGGACAUGCUAUUAGUGGAUAAUUUCAUCCAUUUCAUCAUUGAUGGAAAUGGACCUAGCAUCACAUCUAUGCUAUGCAGAUAAAACCAUUCUUUUCUCUUCAGGAGAUUCAAAUUCUAUCACUAGGAUGAUGAACACUCUAGAGACAUAUGAAAGGUCUAUGGAGUAUGGACAACUCAUUAACAAAAGAAAAUCUGGGUUCAUUGUCCACCCUAAAGCCACUGAUAUCUUUAUUCAAGAGAUGAAACAAAUAACGGGAUUCACUCAACAUCAAUUUCCUUUACCAACCUUGGUUCCUAUAUACAUAGGUAGGAAAAGGAUUUCAUAUUUUUCUGAUAUGGUGGCUAGAUUGUCACACAGAGUCACAGGGCGAUAGAUGAAAACUCUCUCAUUUGCAGGAAAGGCUGUUCUUGUUAAGGUAGUGCUUGCUUCCUUACCUCUGCACAUUAUCUCUGUGGUUCAGCCACCAAAAACAAUCAUUAAGCAAAUAGCGAGGGUGAUGCCUAACUUCAUUGUGAAUCAGAAGGUAAGAAAAAACAUCAUUAGAUAUCUUGGAGAAAGUUGUGCUUUCCUACUGACUAGGGAGAUGCAGGUUUUAGACCAAUUCAAAGCUACUGUGAUGCAUUCCCCGCCAAGAACUGGUGGAAUUUCAGAACUAACUUUUCUAUGCUCAAGGACUUCUUGAAAGCUAAGUAUUAUAAAAGAUCUCAUGCAUUUCAAAGAGACGGACUUAUGUUGAUUCUCAUACCUGGAGAAGAUUAAUGGAGGCUAAAACUAAUUUUGAGCAACAUAUUCUUUGGAAGAUAGGUUAUGGAAACAUUUCCUUUUGGUGGGAUAACUAGUUAGGGAUUGGACCUCUAGCUAGACAAGUACCACAAGGUUAUAGAUCCAAAAAGAUUACAGUUUCUCUCUUCAUUAAUUCUAACAGGUGGAAGGAGCAGGAACUCAGAAAGAUCCUCCCUGAUCACAAUGUAUAUCAGAUCCUUAAUAUCACCAUUGAGCCUAAUAGAGAGGAUUAUCCUAUUUGGCUGGCUGAUGAAAAUGGCGAGUUCUCAUGCAAAUCAGCAUGGAAGGCUACCAAAGUAAACAGAAAUUCCUCUCUCACUCCCAAGAAAAUCUGGCGCUCCAAAAUCCCCUUCAAAGUAUCCUUUUUAUGCUGAAACUAUUACAUGAGAGCUUGCCUACAGAUGACAAGACUCAAAGAUUUAAUUACCAGGGACCAUCUAAAUGUGAUUGUUGUGGGAAUCCUAAUCAGGAAAACUAUUGAACUUUUAUUUUGUGAAGGGGAUAUGAAGCUGAUUUGGACUUUCUUUUCUACUUCGUGUGAGAUCCCUUAUCAACCUCAAUCCACCAGAGAUAUGCUUAUCAAAUGGUGGCUUGCUAAGCCAAAAAAUAGCAUACAUGAACUACUUCAAUGUACCCCCUCUAUCAUCUGUUGGGAGAUUUGGAAGAGUAGAUGCACCAGGAGAUUUGAACAUACUACUUUAUCUAUUAUGAGAAUCAUUAAUCGAGUCAUCUGAUUAACUAGUCUGAUCUUGAAUAGCCAAUUUAUCUCUUUGAGAGUUAACAACAAGUGGAUGUAUAUAUAUGACAGAGUAGAAAGGCUAAGCAAAAACUACACAUCAAGUUAAAUACGGAUGGAUGUUGCAAAGGCAAUCCUAGAGAAGCAGCCGGAGGUGAUAUUCUUAAAGACCAUAUGGACAAUCCGAUCAGGACGUACUAUUCUUACUUUGGUGUUUGUAGAAACAACAAAGUUGAGACUAUGGCCUUACUUAAAGGGUUGCACUGGUGCAUCAACAAUGGGCACACCAAUAUUUUGGUGGAAACUAACUCCUUAUUACUAGUCAGAAUGAUUAAAGGGGAGAACAAGAUUCAGUCAUACCUCAGGGAUUAUAUCCAUCAAAUCAAAUACCUGAUGAUUUAAGGGCAAACUCAUGUUGGUCACUGUUACAGGCUCGUUUGCUAAUAUUGGAGUGGAGACUAAACAGGAGAGAUUCUUCACUCAUGGCCUCACCACGAGAGACUAAAACUUUAUUGAAGAAUAUCAAAAUGGCUUUAUUCGCUCCAGAAUAAGGUCCAAGAAGGGGCAUUUCAUAUUUGAUAAUAGUUAAGACUACUCAAGUUGUAUUGACAUAUAGGUUUCAUUUCAAAGCUAGCUCUUUCAUCUAUAACAUGAUAGGGAAUUCCUCUCUUAGUGAAAACUUAGACAAUGCACAGAAUUAUCUUCGAUCUCACUCACUCACUCUCCAUGUAUCUCUAGAGGCUAAGGUUUAUGUCCUCCUCUGUGUAUUCUUUUGGAUUAUCUAAUAGACAGGUAAGGGCAAUGCCAACCCCCCAUCCCAACUACCAUAGGGCAGCAUACCCUGGGUGAUGGCUUGAAUAAAAAAAAUACUAGCACUACUAUACCGGAUCUCAUCAUAAUGUCAAAGUUAAACGUGCUUGGGCAAGAGUAUACUGUGAUGGAUGACUCCUUGAGAAGUCCUCGUGUUGCAUCCGGACCUCACUUGUGGAUAUUCAAAAGGCGAAAUACAUAAAGCGCCCCUUUAAGUUGUGCCCAACGAUCAUUUGAACAUCUUAACUUGCCUUAUGACCAGACAAACAUUUCUGCUUGGUAGAAGUAUAUUCUCUUAAACACCAUCCGCUGACAUGACAAAUUUUGUGUGUUACACUUACAUCUACACGUGUGAAGAUCUUGAAAAUUAGGUUUAUCUUUUUUUCCCUAAAACCAAUGUGGACCCUACCACCUCCUCCAAUUUUCUCCGUCUUCUGCGCUGCGCUGCACCAUUUAUCUUCUCCAUCUUGAAAAUAAAUUCGAAAAAAGACGAACAAAUAAAACAAGUUGAAACAAAAACCCAGCUGAUAGCAAUUGAAAAAUGAGAAAAAGGGUUAGAGAAGAAAAGACAACUCAUUCAGAACAAUAAUAGUAAAGAUUAAAGAAAAGCAAGCGAAAUUUGUAAAGCUUUUCUACACCGACUACCGGCGGCGAUAUCGCAUUUGCCAUUGUUUCACCGUUGAAGACCCACCAUGCCUUUGAACCUCUUCAAAUUCAAACCCACAAGAGUCAUUAUAAACAGGGGCAUAAAAAAUUAGAGAAGGAAGCAAUAUCACCGAAAACUUUUUGGCCAGAAAAGUGAGUACUUAACGGAAACUUUUCUGCAAUCUUCCCUCUUUCAUAUUGUCCCCAAUUAUCUUCUCCAUCUUCACCCUCCAUGACAGAAAAAAACACAAAAUUUUCAUCACCAUCCGCCAUUAAACAAAUCCAAAAACAAUAAAUCUUCUCUAUUACACCACCACAUAACCACUAACACUUCCUUCAAUUUCCCUUAUCGACCCCAAAUCUGAAAAACUAAAAAGAACCCAUCUAAAACCUUUGUCUGGUUUUGUUUAUUCUGCUCCUAUUGGCAUUCCUCGAUGUGUUUAGGCACGGAGUAGAGGUUUUCGGUGGCAAUGUUUCCGGUGGCAAUGUAUAAAGAGGAAGCUGCAACUUCCAUGGUGUCCAGCGUCCAUGGUGUUGGUCUAAGUAGGUUUUAUGGUGGUUUAAGGUCUGAUUUGGGAAAAUAGAGUCUUUUUCUUAUUUUUUAAAUUAAAAAUAACAACUAUUUCUUAAUAUAAACUAUACUUUAUUUAAGAAAUGCACGUGUCAUUUAAUAAUUUGUCAAAUUGACAUGUCAUCCGCGAGCGUAACUUAUGAGACGCACCUGUGUUAAAAUAGAAGUGUCUGUAUGGUGAUAAGGCAAGUUAAGUUGUUCAGAUGAUCGUUGGGGACAACUUAAAAUGGCGCUUUAUAUAUUUCGCCUAUUCAAAAUAAUUUACAGAAUGAAUUGAUUUAGCUCUCUAUUAAGAAAAAAAGUUGCUUGUAAGUUGUUGCUAAGAGUGUUCAUAAAAAUUCGAAAAAUCGAACCAAACCGAAAACCAAACCAAAUCGACCAAAAAAAACCGAUACUUUUUGGUUUGGUUUGGUUUUGGUUUUGAAUUUUAAAAAACCCAUCAAAUUUGGUUUGAUUUUGGUUUUAAUCAGAAAAAAAUCAAAAAAACAUCGAACCAAACCGACUAUAGGAGUAGCUAUUUUAAAUUUGUUAUUACAUCUAUAUAUAUGUAUAUUUUUAUACAAAGUUUCAAAAAUUUAAUGGUAAAUGUUAAUAGUUUGCACUUUUGUAUAGUUAUUGACCUUUACAUUCUAGUUUGAUUGGUAGUUUUCUUUAGUUAAGUGUAAGAAUCCAUUUCGUAUUAAAAAUAAUAUAUUUUUAAUUGAGUCCUUAAAUUAUUCAUCAUUAUUUAAUUUAAUUAUCAUCAAUAUAUCUUGGUAAAUAAUAGAUUUUUCAAAGGGAAAUUGAUUUGAUAGUGUUACAUUGAAAAUGUGGUCUCCGAAAUAUGUGUUUGUUAGUGAUGUCUUAUAUUUAAGAAAAAACCGACAAAUAAUCGAAAAAACCGAAAAAUUGACAAAACCCGACAUAAACCGAAUCGAGAAAAAACCGACUUAAUUAGUUUGGUUUGGUUCUAAUAUUUAAAAACCGACUUACUUGGUUUGGUUUCAUUUUAGAGAAAAACCGAUCCAAACCGAACCAUGAACACCCCUAGUUAUUGCAGUGCUAAUUGUGAGCCCCUUCGGGAAAUUGCUUGCAAGCUACUUGCUUGAUUGCAACCAGUGGCAGACCUAGAGCAUUGAAGGUGAGUUCUUCGGAACUCAGUAAUUUUUGCGUCUACUCUGUAUAUAUAUUAAGAAAUUCAUUAAAUAUUUAUAAAUAAUUAACUGUGAACCCAGUUAGUAUUGCAUAUUAAUUUAAUAUUAUGGUAGGACACCAUAAACCUUAAAUCCUGGAUCCGCCUCUGAUUACAAAUUUACAACCCCUUCAGGAAGCUUCUUACAUGCUACGUGUUUGCACUAUUAGUAAGUUAUUUGCUUGAGUGCAAGUCUCUUCAAAAAGCUGCUUGCAUACUACUUGCUUGAUUGCAAUUUUUUAGAAUGCAAAUCUCUUCAGAAAAGUACUUUCAAGUUGUUUGCAAAGGAGUACUAAUUAUGCACAAUUUUAUGUAUUCAUAACACGUUUACAUUUUUCAGUGUUCACGUUCUUUUUACGUUUGUACUGCAUUGAGCCUUUGCAAGAGAAUUUUACGUUUCACUUAUUUUUUGUUUUUGCUUCACUAGUGUUUAACCGAAAAAUAGAUUUUUGGUCAAAAUUAAGAUUUAGAAGAAAACGGGUUACUAAUAACCAAGUUUUACUUCACUUUCCUGAUCGGCUAUUUGUAAAAUAGUGAAAAUUAUAGAGGGAAUUAGCAAAAAGAAAUAAGGAAUAAUCCAAUAAUAAAUCCCUAAAAUCAAGGUUAUAAAGCAAAGAAUUAUAGAAUGUAUUUCAGUAGUACUUGGAAUUUGUCCUUACAAAUAAAAUUAUAUAUCCUUAUAUAGGAGUGUACAAUCAUAACGGUUUUUCAUAUAAUUUAGGUUUAUUAUGGGCAUUAAUUGUAUUGAUUGCCCAUUACCACAGAUAGUCGUAAUUGGCAUAUUUAUUGCUUUGAAUGCCUUAUAAAUGUUCCGAUUUCCCUUCCUUAUUUACUUCUGGUUCAUGUAUCCUUCCUUUUUUUUAUCCUUAUUCAUUCCGUCCACGCCUCUUCUUUGACAAAUGUCAGGCCCGAUUCUUUUUUCUGUACUGUCUCGUGGGUAUUUCUCCCGUGUCUUCCUAUCUUAAUUAAUUCUAUUAAUUGAGAAUGUCAUUUGUUGCUAUAUCACUGCUCCACGCGUCAUGCUUCGUCAGCAUACUAGCAUUCCAUGUGUAAUGCCUUUUUUCCACCAAUACAGAUAGCCCCUCCACUUUUUGAAUAUUAUGGACUGAUUAUUCGGGAAGUGGAAAUCUUUUAUGACAGGAACUCUCUGCCGUUGUUUUUCGAAUAUAAUCAUGUCUUCUUCAGAACCGAUGUGACAUACAUCACAUCCAUUUAAUGCCCAUGCCACGUGGCCUCUAACGAUUGGUGCUGCAGUUUCUCAGCGCUUUUUAGGGUUUCUCUGCGGCCGCGUCAGUCACGAUGUGACGGUUCCAUUAUGAUGCUUUAUAAUGACCAAAUUUAACAAUGAUCAUGUCUCCUUAUAAAUACUUCAUUCUUUUUUGAUUUCUUAGAGUCUUCCUUCUUUAAUAUCCAUCAUCUUACUCCUGCUUUGUAUCUUUCUGCAUCUUUCUUCUGCCUUUCUUUGGACAAUCAUGUCUUCCCCAGAUCUUCGCAAGGUAGUGAUUAUUGAUGAGUUUGUUCCUUCUAAUGCUCCCACUAGAAUCAGGAGGGGUGGUAGGUUUCAUAGUCUUGGUUCAAUAUCUAACUAUGGUUAUUCCUCUUAGAAUAAUGCUACUAAACCAUCUUCUUCUAGGCCUGGGGCUCCUUUAACUCCUAGAUUUUCUUCUAAAAAUAGAGAUUUAGCUAAUCUUAUGCGUGAACCUAUAGUUGCAGAGAUUGUUCCUCAAUAAUUUUCUUUUGUAAUUGAUCGUGAAACCAUAAGAAACCAAGUUUCUUCCAUGGCUUCCCUUAGCUCUGCUGGCCUUUACCCAAGUUUGAUCACUACUGGCCUUAUUUCCCUAGUUCGUAGAAAGUGUCACUAGAAAUAAGAUUUCCCAAUUUUAGUUCCUGGUGACAACCAGAGAAUUACUUCCUAUCAUGCAGGUUUUUCAUUUGUCUAUACCUACCCCUUCACUUUAGCGUUCAAACCUUCUAUUGAUCUAGUAAUCUUUGAAUUCUAUCAUUAUUUCAAUAUGUGUCUUGGCCAGAUUGGCCCCAUAGUAUGGAGGGCUGUUGCAUGCCUUCAUUAUUUAGCAGAACCAGUUUUCGUGCCUUUUACUUUUCGGCACUUGCUUCACCUGUACUCCUCAAAGUUGUUUCGUGAAGUUGUCUUUACUCUCGUGGCUAGAAGUAAGAGAGUUUGGUCAGUCUAAAGACGGUAGGGACCGUGGCUGGUAUGUAUGUUUUGUUGCUGCUCCUACUAGUGGAUUAGUGGGCGAAGAAAAUAUUCCUUUCCCGAAGAAAUGGAACUUUGCAUGUAAGUUUUUUUUCUCUUUAAAAUAUCUCAAAACACUUUAUUAUAAUCAGAUACCCAAUUUUUCAGUAACCAUGGAGGUUUUUGAUGAAAUUUCCAACUUUUGUGCUUGGGUAGAAAAGAUGUUUACAACUGCAACUAUGGAGAAAAGAUAUUGGAAAUACCUUUCUCAAAAAUUUAGUUGGAAAGUAAAGACGCACGGUAAUUUUUACCUUCAUAGUCUCUUCCUUUCUCUUCCUUGUUUAUUCAUGAAUUUAUCAUCCCCCCCCCCCCCCUUUAGGGUUUCCUAUUCGUGGCACUAGUCAUAAGUCUUGCUCAUGAAAGAAUUUUAAGUGCUUCUUCUUCAAAGAGGAAAAAUGAUGGGGCCCGUGGCUCUGAUGGCGAAGAGGAAAUAGAUGAGGUUUCUUUAGUGUGAAGACCACGAGUUAGAAGACGUGUGAUUUCUGAUGAUGAAACUACUCCUUCUCGUGACCCUCCAACAAGUUCAGUACCCUUUAGACUCACGGAUGAGCUAGAGAGUGCUCUUUCAGUGAUUUCCGAUGAAGAUGCUGCUAUCCUCCCCCUGACUUUGUUGAUUGAUUGUUUGAUCAUGGCUUCGAGAGUGAUAAAGCUAUUGGGCUUCUUUCCGAAGAAUUGCCUCUUGCUUCCCUUCCAGUUUCGGUUUCUAUUAACCCCCCUCCCCCCGUGUCUCUUUCUGAUGCUACCCCUGUUGUUACUCUCGUGGCUGCUCCACUUCGUCUGUUAUUCCCAUGGCUACCUCCCAUGUAGAGACAAAACCUUUUAGCAGCAGGAUGACAAUGAAAAGAGUUGUUGUUGAGGUUCCUGAAGGUGAAAACUUACUAAGAAAAUCUGGUCAAGCCGAUGUAUGGUUGAAGCCUCUACUAGGUCCCGUGAAGAAGAGGAAGUUAGAAAGCCAUAUCUCUCUGACUUUAAUGAAUGAUAUCGUUCAUUCUUCUUUGAAGGUACAAUUUUAAUUGUAUUUCCUUUCUUUUCUUUCUCCUAUUCAUCACUCUUUUUUUUGCAGAUCAACUUGAUUAGCACAUAACCUAUGAAAAGAGUUUCUCAGACGGAGCAUCAAGUUAUAGAUUUUCACACCGAAGCUGACAACUGGAAAGAACAAUUCGAAGGUCUUCAACUGGAAAAACAGGUUCUGGCAGAAGAAAAGAAUGCUUUGGAACAACAAAUGAGGGUGAUUGCUGCUGAAUAGCGAUUGACAAAGCUUCUUCUAACCAGGUUAAAAACGACAAGGAUAUACUUGAGUCCUCUUUCACUGAACAACUUUCAAAGGCAACUGAAGAGAUAAGAAAUUUGAAGAACCUCCUUAACUAGAAAGAAGUUUAUACGAGUGAAUUGGUUCAAACACUUACUCAAACUCAAGAAGAUCUCUGUAUCUCUACUAGUAAGAUUCAGUUCUUGGAAAGUUCUCUUGUAUCUUUGAAGACGACUUAUGAUGCCUCUGAAGCAGAAAAAGAAGAGUUGAGAGCUGAGAUUGACCAGUGGGAGAAGGACUAUGAGAUUCUCGAGGAUAAACUAUCAUUGGAUGUGAGCUGGGCUUUCUUAAACACUCGCCUUUAGACUCUAAUUGAAGCCAACCAGAAGGGUUUUGACCUUAAUGCUUAGAUUGUUAAGGCUAAAGAAGCAAUUGAUAAAACUCACCAACAUCAAAGCUUUUCUUCACCUGAAGACAAAGGUCCCGAGGGUGAUGGAAAUGGACUUGUUCCUGGUGAAGCUGAUAUUCAAGCUUCUUCUUCUCAAGUUAAUCCUUCUUCUCCCAUUGAUGAUGCUCCGGUGGAUGAUGCUCCUUAGUUUUUUCUUACUUUUAUGUUUGUUCAACUUUUGGAAGUUUGUUGUUUUUGGGAAGGCUGCUUUUCGGUUACCCCUAUCUUCUUUUGGGGUUUAAUAACAAACUAAUACCUCUAUUUUCCCCAAAGUAAUAUAUAUGUGUUUCGGUUAAUUUUACCAUUUAUUUUGCUCUUUGAUAUUUGAGCUUUUUCCUUGCAUUUAAAAAUGCUUUAAUAAUCCAUGAUUUUGAUUAACACGGAUUUUUAUAAAAAAAAGGGCCCUUUUAUGUAAACGACACUAAUGAAGAUGACGUCUUAUCUUCAUAUUGGUGUAAAUAUAUGAAAGACUAAAUAGACAAAAAGGAAACAGUUUGAGGAAGUUUUAUGUUUUAAACUUUCAAAUAAAUUCCGUACAUCAUUUUCUCUAUUAUUCGUCCAACACUUUCACAACUGCUUUUUUUGUAGCAUAUUUUCAGAUACAAAAUCGGGUUUAUUAUACCGUGACUAAAUUUUGGACUUAACCUAAAACUCGUAGGAAUUUGGAAUGUAUCUUGUAUCCUUCUCGCGAGUUCACACCUUCUCAAGGUUGCUUCAAGGUUUUUGAUUUAGGCUUGAUUUUUGGCUCUUUUGCUUCUUUCUCUAUAUGCAUAGUCCCCAUAAUGUUAGAGCUUUGAAGUAUAAAAUCUCGAACACUGGAUUACUCCUUCUUUUUGGUCCAUUCCCUGAAAAGGAAAAUACAAACGGAACUCGGAGAUAUACGUUUAGAUGAUGACUGCAUAACCCUUUUUUCCAUCAGAAAGGUUGCAAUCUAGAUCGUGAAUAAUUUAGUAUUCCCGCGUCUUUUAGGUCUAAUAUCAUCAUUUGGUACGGGCUAGCUUUUUGCCUAUCAUCUAAAAUUAUUAGUAAAAUUCAAAAGAACAAAAUAAAGUUAUAUCUAAGUGAUACCUAACCAUGGGUACUUCCUUUGUCUAAAAGUAAUACUUCUUUGGAAGAACAACAUUCUAGUUUGAUGGUAGUAUGCUGUCAUCCAUGGUCUCCAACUCAUAUGCUCCAUUUCUAGUGAUGCCUCGAACACUUAUAAGAGCCUUCUCAAUUUGGACUUAACUUUCCCGCAUUAGUCGCUUUCGUUGAUCGAAACACCUUUUUAAGAACGAAGUUCCUAAUCUUGAAGAAGUACCUCAGAUUUGCUUUCCUAUUGUAAUAUCGCUCAAUCAUCUGUUUUUGAGCUUCCAUCCUUAUUCGCACUGUUUCUCUCCUUUACUCUAGUAAAUCCAAAUUCAUUUGCAUUUCUUCCUCAUUUGAUUCCUCAGUAGCAUGUGUGUACCUCGUACUUGGUUCACUUAUUUCUACUGGAAUUAAGGCUUCAGUGCCAUAGACAAUUGAAAAUGGAGUCUCAUCCGUAUUUGUUUUUGCUGUCAUUCGAUAAGCCCAUAAUACCCCCGGUAACACUUCUGGCCACUUGACCGUUGAUUCUUCUAGUCUUUUUUUAAGUUAUUAAUAAUAACUUUGUUUGCUGACUCAACUUGCCCGUUGGCUACAUGAUGGUAAGGUGCAUAUGUAAUUCGUUUAAUCUGUCAACUUUGAAAGAACUCUGUGAUUUUCGUGCCUAUGAAUUGUGGGCCAUUGUCACACACUAUUUCCUUUGGAACUCCAAAGCGACAAAUAAUGUUUCGCCAAAUAAAGUCCAUGACUUCUUUUUUCGCACCUGUUUGAAAGCUCCUGCUUCUAUCCAUUUUGAAAAAUAAUCUGUUAAAACUAAUAGAAAUCGUACCUUUCCUUUAGCUUGAGGUAACAUAUAUCCAUGCCCUAUUUCAUAAAAGGCCAUGGCGAGAUAACUGAAUGUAACAAUUCUACUGGGCGAUGCAUGUUAUUGGUGUAUCGUUGAUACUUAUUGCACUUGGCCACAAAGUUUUCUGCUCCUUCCUCCAUUUUUGGCUAAUAGCAUCCUGCUAUUAUUAAAAUCUUCACCAAUGAUCUUCUCCCAUCAUGAUUGCCAUAGUGCCCCUCAUGUACUUCCCUUAUCACAUAUUCCGUUUGUGAAGGAGCAAGGAACCAUGCCAAAGGUUCACCGAAUAUUUUUCGGUAUAAGUUUCCACGAAUUAAGCAAUAUUGGGUGGCUUUUUGGCAAAGUAUCUGUGACUUCUUCUUGUCUUCGGGUAAGAUUCCAUACUGCAAAAAGUUGACAAACUCGUUCCUCCAAUCCCAAGUUAAAUUAUUAAAAUUUACCUCGUUCUUGUCUUGAUCGACCACCGAAUGAAACAAAUGUAUUACAAUAGCAUUUUCUGCAUUUGUUAUCUCCAUAACAAACGUGAGGUUGGCCAACACAUCUGCUUCUGCAUUCUCCUCCCUGGGUAUUUGCACAGCCUUCCACAAUUGAAAUUGUCUGACUAAUUCCCAUAGCUUUUCCAUGUAUUGUUGCAUUUGUGCCUCUCUUGCUAUGUAAGUCCCCUGUAUCUGGUUAACUAUUAGUUGCGAGUCACUUUUGAUUACAAUAUGUUCUAUUAGCUUCGAGGAACCGCUAGUAAAUAAAAUACAAGUCCCCGGAUUAGAUCCGGUAAAUACCUGUAAUUCCUUUUCUACCUCAGGAAUUAAAUUCGUGCUGAAAUCUGUUACAAAAUAUGCUAAAACCUAUGAUUUUAUUGCCAUUCUAGGCUGAUAUAUGAUAUCAUACUCACUGAGUUCUAUUUAUCACUUAGCUAACCUACCAGAUAGUUCUUAUUUAUGCAACAUAUUCCUUAGAGGGAAAGCAGUUAUUACUGAGAUAGGAUCACAUUGAAAAUAAGGUCUCAACUUUCUAGAUGCUUAACUAAUGUUAAAGCAAGCUUUUCUAGAUGAGGAUAUCAUGUAUCGGCAUCUAACAAAGAUUUACUAACAUAAUAUAUUGGAUAUUAUUUAUCUUUAUCCUCUCAUACCAACACCGCACUUACCACCACUUCUGAUACAUCAAGGUAAAUAAGCAGCCUUUCUCCGUCUUUUGGUUUGGCUAGCAAAGGCGGAUUUGAAAAAUACAUUUUUAGGUCCUUAAGACUUGUUGGCAUUUAUCAGUCCAUUCAAAUUGAUUCUGCUUUCUCAAAACUGAAAAGAAUUUAAAACCCUUUUCCGAAGAUUUUGAAAUAAAUCCGCGGGCUGCUAUUCUUUAUGUUAAUCUUUGCACUUCUUUUUUGCUUGUGAGUGCAUUCGGUGUUUCUUCGAUAGCUUUGAUUUGUGC
rnacentral:lncRNA from 1 species